UUUGUGUUCGUUUUUUGCAGCUUUUAUGAAUUUAGGAUUUAACAAGGUUCGAGAAUACUUUUACAUCUUCUCAAGUCAAGGUCAAAACUCCAACAUGAAUCAGAAGCCAUUCUCGACUGAAGAGAGGAGGCGUCGAUCUGCCAAGAUCACUGAGCUGAAGAAACAAACAAAAUGCAGAAAGUGCGGCCGGAAGGGGCACUAGGAGCGAGAAUGCUCGAAUUUCAGGAAGCACAGGUUCUUCGAUCCAGCAACGGGCAGAAGCAUAGGUGCAAAAAAUUGCAAAACCAACGCCGCAGUAACAGAAGAUUGCGAUGAAGAUGAUUCCGUGGCCUUCAUGGCCCAUGUCAACGAGGAUGUCAAUGACGGCACAGAAUCAUGCUACAUGGAUAGAAGAGCAAUAGACCACAUGAUCGACCAUCUGGAUUGAAUUUGCCUCAUUCAAACCAAUACCACAAGGAUAAUGGCCUGUUAUGAUCGCGGACAACAGGCGUCUUUGGGUAUGAGGCAUUGAUCGAAUCAAUACCCGAUACAAGAUCAACGAUGCCUGGAAGCCCCAAUGCAUAGAACGGGUUCUGUAUGUCUCCGAAUUAAGAUAGAACUUUUUUCGAUUGGACAAGCAGUCGACAAAGGUAUUGUAACAACCUACAAAAGGCGCUACCUCACAAGCGACAAAGGAUGCAAAAAGGUUGUUCUUGCUGGUUUCUAUGUCGACAAAUUAUAUAAACUGAAACUGCGAAUUGUUCGCCCAGUCGCCCAAGCCAACAUUGCCUUGGCACACACCAUCAGAAAUAAUCUCGAAUUUAGAAAGUCACCAAGUAGAUCGAACAAAGCGCCAACAAGGAAGCUGGAUUUAUAGCAUCAACAUUUUGGGCAUGUGCACAACGCGAUGAUCGUGCACAUGGACACCCACGGAAUCGUCCAUGGGAUCGAUUUGCAAAGUAAUACAGUGCCGCAUGGAUCCUUUGAAGGCUGUGCCAUCGGGAAGAGCGUCCGACUGACUUUUUCAAAACAACAAUCCUCGUCGCAAGCUGAAACACUAGGAUCAUUGUUCCACAACGAUGUCUGCAACCCCAUGCAUCACGAGUCUUUUGAAAAGGCACGGUAUUACGUUUCAUUCAAGGAUAACUACUCGGGCUACCAAAUUGUGCAUUGCACUCGCCACAAGUCCAAUGUCUUAUAGAAGUUCAAAAAACUCUGCAAUUCUGUCUCUCGCAAACCAACAACAGAAUCUAGAUUCUGCGAAGUAACCAAAGAGAGAAAUACGUGGGCAUGGAGUUCACCAGUUUUUUGAAAAAAUCUAGCAUUCGACACAAACUCACGAGCCCCUAUUGUUUAAAACAAAAUGAUAGCAUGGAAAGGGAAAAUCGCGCCCUCGUCAAAUGCGUGCAAACUAUGUUACAUUCAAAAAAUCUCAACCUGUAGUUUUAGGGGGAAGCGGUACAAAUUGCCACGUAUAUACUAAAUCAUAUUGUAUCACGCCUAGCUUUCUCCCCCCGGUGGACAAACGGACACUCCGUCCAAUUGUGGAUCCUCCCCCUCAAACAUCGACUCACCUUGAAUUCAAACAUGCAGAUCGCGAUGCCUAGCUUUUUCACCCGAGUGGGCAAACGGGCACUCCAUCUAAUCAAGGCUCCUUCCCGUCAUGCAUCACCUCACCUUGAAUUCAAACAUCCAAAACUAAUCGCACAUGUAUGUGUCCACCACCGGCCACGCCUCUACGUCCUCGUUGUUCGAUAGCGAAAACUUGCUGAACAACGCAUCGGAAAAUGUCGGUGACCCCAUCGACAAUCCCCCGGCUCGCAGCGGCAACGCCGGUCCCAAGCUCAACCCUCGCAGGUUUGCUCGACCCCCUCCCUUCCCGCCUCCUCAAAGAAGCUCCCCUUCUCGCUCCCCGCCUCAAUUAGUGACUCCUCAUCUGUUAUCGAAAACCUCAAAAACUCACUCCGUAACACCAGCGAGCUGGACGGGCUCAAAAAGAAAUUAUUGAAGACAUGCAACCUUGAGCUCUAACCACCCCUAAAGCUGUGGCUCCUCUAAUACACCCCAUCCGAUGUGCCAACUACAAGCACCUCCGCAUCCUGCAAACGUGCACUACAAGAAGAAGAUCCCAAAACUCAGACUCGUCUAAAACGCGCAGUAUACGUCACCGGUAAGCCCUCCGCUGUCUCCGUCGGGGUUGCCUCCGCCGUCGCCCAGGUCAGCAGAGGAAUAGGGAAAAAUUGCGGGGUCAUUUGUGAAGAGUGCAAUCUGGGAAAAAUUGCGGGAUCAUUUGCGAGCAGGUCGAUGUGAAGAGUGCAAUCUGGGAUGUCGCUGCAAGCAAUGCCACAGCAAGCGGUGCAGGCUCGAAGGCUGGGUGGACACCAGCAGUCGUCGGCGAUGCCAACACAUCGGCGGCAUUUGGAUUGUUAGAACUCAAUGCCAACGCUGUCAAAACUAAGCGCAAGAGAGCAUUGGAGGCUGUACUCAGGGAUGCAUCUGGGGUCAGCAUAGACGUCGCCAGCGGGAGUGCAUUCAAAAGUUGAUGAUGGAGAUUUGAGGUGCACGUCCGGCAUCGGCUGCGUAGUGGCUGCAACAACAGUACACGACGGCAUCGUCGCUGCUGCGUUGGUGCUCAUAGAGCAUGCCCAGGAUGAUGGGAUCACAAGGAGCGAUGGCAGGUGGAGGAGAACCAGGACGGGGAGGCGAUGGUGCAGCAGGUGGAGAGCGAGCAAUUCAGGGGGCAAAGCCAGACCUAGACUAGGUGAACGACCCGUCUGUCGUGCAUUGUUUUGACUAAGCAAAAUUUGGUACUCAUUUCAACUCUAUACACAAUUCUCACAUAAUAACAAAUAUGAAACUCAGAUUCCGAAUUAAGGUCUUCAAACCCUAAACUACAAAAAAUGAAACACAUAUUUUUGAAAAACAAAAAUAUUUUUAUAGCUCUUUAGGACAAUAUAACUCUUGGCAAAAUUCCAGAACGGAAAAAACUGUGAUACAUUGAGAGAUAUUUAGGAUCAAAAAUCUCUAGGACACUCUUGUAACCCUAAAUCCUAAACCUAGUGAUGCUAAAAAACCAGGGACACCUUAAACCCUAAACCCUAAAAAUAUUGAUGCUAAAAAAUUGGAAACAUCAUUGUAACCCUAAAUCCUAAAAAUAUGGAUGCUCAAAAACCGGGACAUCCUUGUAACCCUAAACCCUAAACCUUGAUGAAAUUUGGUUUAUAGCCAUCUACAAGUUCUAUAUAUGUUAUAGAUAAGUUAUAGAUGGCUAUAAACCAAAUUUCAUCUAUACAUAACUCAUCCAUACAAAGUCUAAACAAUAAGUGUCAUGUUAUUUUGGAAUACUCAUAUAUAGUCCUACAGUGUAUCAAAAUUAAUAAUGCCAAAGUCAACUUGCUACAAAAGACAAUCCUAAAUCCACAAGAAAAGUCAACUUCUAUACAUCUCAAAAAGUAAGCAUUUGUAGAAAAAUCUAAGACCACUAGUAGAUUCUUCAUGUUUUAAAUAAAGAAGGUAUGUAUACUUAAAUUUUGAAAAUAAUGAGUUCUUUAAACCAAAGAUUCCAAAGUCAAAUCCUUGAUAUAUUCUAAAUAGUAUAAGUAGAAGUAAAUUUUAUUUCACCAUUGAAAUCACAACUCUCAAAAAUGGAGAGAGAGAGAGAGUAGAUUACUUUUAAAUUCUAAAUUCUAAAAAUAUAAGAAUUUACCAACCAUAAAAUCUAUUAUUAAAGCAACUAUAUCAUCAAAAUUAUAUACUUUUCAAAAAAACUAAAUACACUAUUAGCUUUGCAAUAUUUUAAAAUAGUGAAGUAAGUCAAUUCAAAAUAUUGAAAUUCUUAAAAAAUAAAAAAAUCAAUUUUAUCUUUAAAAGUCAAAAUGUCUAUAUCUACCAAAUAAAAAAGACAUAAGUAAAUUUAUUGCACCAUUAGAAACACAACCCUCGAAAAUAGAGGGAAGAUAGCUCAAUUCAAAAUUCCAAAAAAAAAUAUGCCAAUUUUUUUUAAAUACACAUAUAAUCCUAAUUCUAAACCUAGUCUCCAUUGACAUAACCUUCUACUAUAAGUCAAUAUGAAUUCUGAAGAAACCUAACUCAUUAUAUUUUGGUAAGAAGUUGUGGUCUCUUUUGCAAGCUAUCUUGAUUAAAGUUGACCUUCCACAACACUUUAGAAUAGCUUUUGUGAAAUUAAUGUUGUUAUUUGUGCAUAAACAUUUUCUCCAUAUGGGUUUGAGGUCUUCCUAUCUACCAUUAAUUCUGAGAGUAGCACAAAGGACAUUUAGGUAGGUCUUUAGUACAUAUAUUAGCAGUUUUUCGUGAUUAAUUCAUGUUUAUAUUGCUACUCAGGAUAUGAAAAGUUUUUGAAUGGUAGGAUAAACAUGAAUUCUUUGAAGGAGAUUGUUUCUAGAUGAAUCGAUAAAGUUUAAGAGCGAGGUCCAAAUUUUCAGUUAUUGAUUAUGCAGAUGUGCCUACAAAGGAUUGGAGAAGCUUUCGAGGAAGUGUGCCAAAUACCUACUUUCCUGGUGAGCCGUCUGUUGUCUCUUCAUGCGUAGAGCUGCUUGGGUUUCCGAUUUGAACUGGAAGCAGCAGAUGUGUUCUGUAAUUAUGCCUUUAGAAGAUCUAGGAAGCCUAAGGACUACAUUUUACUGCAAAGGAAUGGACAUUAUUGUUAACGGAUGGCAAAAGUAUGAAAGUGCGCAGAAUGAGCCUUUAGAGCAUUGAUGUUCAGUAAUUGAUGUGUGUUCAUACAUUCUUUUAUUAGUGAUUCACUGCUGGAUACAAAAAUGCUUCACAAUUGUCCCUCGUAUUGUGGGACAAUUGCAGAUCGGAGCUAAAGUUACUCCGCCAUUGAGACGUUGAUCAAGUGUCUAUCACUGACAGCAGAUUUGAUAAUCGUCAAAGCUCUCAAGUAUUCACAAUCUGAUAUUUAUUUUAGCAAGUGUGACAAGCCUUGAUAAGGAAAUAUGAUGCAAGUACUGAGGUGGCUAAUGUUGCCUUGAAUAUCUGUUUACAUGUACAAUGAACAAUUUUUGGCAUAAAAAGUUGUAAGAUAAACCUACACAGAAAUUUCAUAAGAUUAUUGCUCCUUGCAAUCUGCUCCAAAACGCCCUUGGUCCUGGCCUCAGCUAAUGAUGCUCAAUGACUUUAAUUCCUUCAGAGAGGGUCGGUUGCACAUGACUUCAGAAAAUGCGUCUGGAAUCUGCUAAGAAAAUCUGAUGUACGCAGUGCAGAACUUCGUGUAGCUCCACCAACCCAUCUAAAUAACUCGAUCCAGAGACUCACAGGCUUGUCUGUGCCUGCACGUGAGGCUUGCUACCUCCAGUGCAAAUCUAGAAAUCAUAAACCAAGUCCUUUACUUUCUACAAUAGUUCUUCCGUCCCAGUGCACUGCAGGAUAGCCACUUCGCAUCGAGUGAUGACUCUUCCAGUACCUUUUCCAUGAUAGGUGAAAAUGGAGGGAGUGGAUUGAGGGAAGCUGCAUUCACACUACUCGUUUGUGUGCGUCUUGCAGCGGGUUUAGAAAACAAAUUCAUAAGUAAAUCUGUAGAUUAGAUGAGUUCUCAAGACUCCCAUUGCCUGCCAUUCAGCUAAAAUCAAGACCCAAGAAAUAAGAGUUUUCUUACCAUCAAAGCCGCAAUCGAAAUGCUCAUUGGAUUUCUAGGGUCUUUCAAAACGACACGCAAUUUCAACCAAGAACUAGCGCUUAACUGUAGGAGCUCCCUUGGAAGUGAAAAUAUUGUGCUUUGAGAGAAUCCACACGAACUAUGUCUGAAGCAUUGGAGCAACAAAGAAGACAGGGCUCUAGAUCCAAAGAUUGCCCUCCCUCACGACUUCAAGACUCUUCAAUUGGGGCAAGUCAUACAUAUACAAUAGAAACUGAAAGCGGUCGUCAAUUUGUCCUUUCUUAGGGGAGUUUGCAAAACGAUGCCGUACAUGACGCCUGCUCUAUGAAGCGCUACUUCCUUGCCUUAGAUCAACAUCGAUUUCAAUUUCAGCAACGGCUCUACAUUACUAAUGUGAAAGUGUCCCGUGUUCUUGAGCUUUGGGUGCGCUACUGACAGGAGUAGUAUGUAAAAAAGAAAGACUUAUUGGUAAGCUUAGUCACCUAUCUCAACUUGUUAAGGACACUCUUGCGCUCCUCAUCACUUCCUCCAUAUUUGAUUUCUGGACAUAACACAUCUAACAUUCGGAGGUUCUUGCACUGUCUCAAGUAUGGCAUGCACACCAGUAUCGCAAUUCCUCACUGAAGAGGUGUGAUGUUUAAUUCUGACAAGAAAUACUCACCAAUGGAGUACACAAUCUCCACUAUUUUACAUACAAUUGCACAUAUCCAGGUGACGUUCACAACACAAACUAGGAAACUUCUGCUCACAGAUUCGAAAUUAACCAAUGAAUCAGAUCAAAGGCAGCCUCAACACUAUUGAAUUGGUGUUAUAUAAUCGGGACAAAUUUUAUACAGUACUGGCAAGAGCAUCACAUACACACAGGAUUACAACAGAAAUCAUCUGUGGUUUACGCACACAGAAAGUUUCUCAUCUUGAUCACGCUACUCAACAUCUAAGCCCUGUCCAUUUCCUUACUAAUAGCAUCUAGGAUUGACAUCUAAACACACAGAUAAAACUAUGUACUUUAACUUUCAAAGAAUUUAACAUACCAACUCGUUGCAAAUCCGUCACAUAACAUCAAAGUAACUCAGUUUUAAUGUUCACAUUUUAAUGUUCAUGCUGCAAUGCUAAAUCUUCUACAAAGCAACAUGCUAUCAACCUCUAGAGGGUGUUACGUUUCUGUAUAACCAUCCAACAUGUCAUUUCGUAAAGUGGUCCAUAGCGGAUCAAUUAACGGUGACGAAUGCUUACUUUCAACAAGAGCAGCGAGUGUACUUCGGUCCUGUUCCCCAGCUUCUUGAACCAGGGUAUUUAAUGCUCCCCACCAUCUUUCCCAUACCAAGCCAGUUGCAGGCAACACACCUGAUCGUUGCAACGCGUCUGUCUUAGAACUACCAGCAGCUACAGACGCCACUGCCGCAGUUCGAUUUCCGAAUUUUUUCACGCCAACUAUUUGUAUACCGUACUUACCAAUGGCCUCUUUUGCAAUUGCUCUCUUGCCAUCCCAACUACCCUUCAACAGAUCGACCAUUGCUCCGAAGAAGAUUGCUAUCAACAACAAUAGUUGACCAAUUACUCCCAUAAGUGGCACCACUAAUAUCACUACAGCUGAGUAAGUCAUCAUAGCCACACACACCAUAAACAACGGAAGAGGCUUAGUAAAGCCGGUUUCUAUUAAUUCCCUUUGCAACAGUCUCUGAAUAGCAUCCUCGCUGCCCCGUAACACGCAGAGUGUAUCUGGUUCAUCAUUCAGCAGUAUCAAAGAGUCUCCAGGAGGCGAAUCUUGUGCUGCUUUCGUGCGAAUGAACUCAUAAUUUCUCAAUCGAAGUAAAACUCCCAGCGCGGCGUUAAAAAACAUGCCAGUGCCCACCAUCAAAAGGGAGAGCCAUUCAUGAUAUUGCGCAUCCAGCAAUAACACUAGAGCACAAACUACUAUUGCUACCACAUUCAGCAAAGCCCCUCGCUCGUCUGAAACAGCCACCUCACCGUUAACACUUUCCCCUAUGUUUGCCCAGAUAACAUAUGUCGGUCGAGCAGAAUCUCUUCCUACUUUCGUUUGGGCAUCUGCUCGUUUCCUGCCUUGUGUCACAAGCUCAAACACCAAAGCCUCUCCCACAGCACCGCGGACAGGCAGACUUGUUCCUGAUCUCAGACCAACAUAGGUGUUCCUAGAACUGACCUUCAAACGGAUCAGCUCUAACAUCGACCUAGAUUCGCCGGCACCUGUUAAAACUCGUGCUGGCCACCACUCAAUGCAGGUUACAACUGCGUAAGCAAGCCCCAAGGUCCCUGAAGUCACAUAGGCGUUUAAAUAAGGCAUCCGACUCCGAACAAUAUAAGUGUACGGGAUUCCUGCCACGGAUGCACUACUGCCCACCAAAACAAAAAUACCCACCAAAUCGAGACUGGGAAUGUGGUUUUCUACUCUGCAAGACACAGUUUUCUGAUAGGGUACAUCAGAUCCCUGCCAGAAUCGCAUGAUCAUUGCCGCUGUGCUGUCCCUAUUACAUACACAAUAAUGAGAGUCGCUCGUUAAAGCUCAACAGUUACUACCGCAAGUGUGAAAUUAGGUCUUCCUCUUCUGGCUUCUAUAUCAUCUGGGCGGGAAGCUACCACUUGGUUGUCUUCGAAGUCGAGGGUAAUCUAUGUAACGGCGAAGUCGUCCUGAGGAGGCGCAAGAAAGGAACGAAAACGCAGUAGACCGACAAAAACUUCAAACGCAGAGUAAACAGUCAGGUGAUCUAAGACGGCAACGCAGUCUUUAUGGAGGCCCAUGGGAGGAGCAAAAACUUGGCACAGAUAAAAAUACCAAACCGAAUUACAAAGUCGAAGAUGUACCCAACAUAUUGAAAUCGUACCAGCAGUGCUCAACACACUCCUUGUCUGAGCAGCGUCCAGGCGGAACACAACGGACAUUCCUUCCGACUUAACAUGCAUGACAGGGCGUAGGAUGCCGAACGAUUGAUGCUUUCCAAGAGUCUGCAAGCACGAGAGACGUGAAUAGUUAAAUGACCUCCGGUAAAGGUACCUUAUUCAAGGCCAGCGUGCAAAGGAAUUUUGCUGAAUCAUACUCAAUAGCCAGACCUCUCAGCCUAGCCAAGAUGCCCUAUGAGGUAGAUGACACAUUAUUGUCGGAAAUAGGGCCGCUGCUUGUUAAGUUCACAGCUAGCUAUGAACAGGAUGAGAAAUUGCCUCUAUUUGGAAUGGAUGUGGGUAAUAUUUCAAAAAUUCACUAUGCAUUAGUGGAGUUGACUAUUUAAGGCAGCUGUUUAUCCAUCUUUGGGUGAUUACUUUGUGAUCAUGUUAAAGUUGGUAAGGGUGGUGAUGAUUUGUCAAUUUGCAAGGAAGACAUAGUAAAGUUCUUGAAGGCUUUGAUUGAAAAUUAAAUAUAAUUGAUUUUCACUUCAUGUUCUCUACAUUUGCAACUCAUGUAAUUGGUGAGUUCCAACAAGCUUUUGAAUGAAAACAGGUCAAAGUAUAUCAUAUCUGGUGGACAUAUAAGCACAUAAAUCAUCAAAAAAUUUAGUGUUGUAAUAUAAUUAUCACCUUUAUGAAGAUGUGAAUUAAUACAUAGUUGCAUAAGGACAAGGUCUUGUAUACAAUUGGUAGUUCAAUUAUAAAGUUAUGAGACAUAAUUGUUAUUGAAAAAAGAGAAAUUAGAAGGCACAAUACUUAGCAUCAAGAAGGUUGUACACAAAGAAAAGUGUAGAAUAAGAUGACUCUUACUUCCAAUAUUCUUUACUUAUAGCUUGAAUUUACAUCUAUUAUAGAUGAACUUCAUCUAUAACCAUGUUCAUCCUUGUUUAUUACAUCUAUCUAAAACCUAGAUUUAUCUUAACCUAGUUGCUAUCUCAAACCUUAACUGCUACCAUUGUAACUUAUCUAAAUCCUUUAUAUUAGUGAUCCUACUACUGCCUUGUAUAGAAUACUUUGCAUUUCACCUUCAACUUUUGUAUACUCUUCAUUUGUAAGCUUCAUCAAUUUUAAAUUGGCCUCCAAAGUUAUUUCAAUGGACUUGCAUUCUUUGAUAUUGAAUUGUUUCAACACUUCUUUAAUAUACUUGCUUUGGCUCAAUAUAAUGGUCUUUUUAGUGCAAUCUCUUACAAAUUCUACUCCUAAGCAAUAAUAGAGGUCUCUCAAAUCAUUCUUCUCAUUCUUCUUUUUUAAUAUGAUCUUCAUCCAAUCCAUCUUUUCCAUAUUACUAGCCAAGAUGAUUAAAUCAUUAACAUAGAAGAUUACAACAAGUAAAAAUUCUUUAAAUUGCAUCACAUAUAAUGAAUGAUUAUUGUCACUCCUUACAAAUCCCUUAUUGACAAAAAAAUGUGUCAAUAUAUUGAUAUCAUACUCUUCGUGAUUGUUUCAAUUCAUAAAAGAAUUUAUUCAAUUUGCACAUAAGGUACUUUUUGCCUUAUGGUAUAAAUCCUUAAGGUUGGUCUAUAUGGAUAUCUUCUUAUAAUUUUUUAUUCAAAAAAGAUUAUUUUUAUAUCCAUUUGGUGUAUUUCAAAGUCCAUUGCUACCCUAAUUGCCAUAAUGGUCCUAAUAGUGGUGAAUUUCGAAACUCGUGCAUAAGUCUCAUUAAAGUCAAUAUCAAAAACUUGUGGAUAUCUUUUAGCAACUAAUCUUGCUUUGUGCCUCACGACCAUACCCAUUGCAUCUCUUUUAGUCUUAAAUACCUAUUUACAACCAACACUAGAUUGAUUUGCUGGAAGAGGUGUCAAUUCCCAUGUAUCAUUAUGUAUAAGAGAUUGGUACCCUUCUUCCAUAGCCUUCUCCCACUUGAUUAUAACUUGGGAUUUUAUAGUAUCAUACAAAGAUAACAGAUUAACAAGAUAAGCAACAUUUGUAUGUUCUUCACUUACUUAAGAAAGUAUUUGGUUCUUCCACCAUUUUCUACAUGGCCUUCUUUCUCUCAAUUGAUAUCUCCUUUUAUUUGUAGAAGAAGACUCACCUUCUUGUACUCCAAGCUCUUUUUGAAGCUUCUUCUCUCUUAAAGCUUGAUACUCUUCAUCAUCAUCAUCAUCAUAAUCUUCAACAUCUUUAUUGACUUCAUCUUCUUGUUUCUUUGUUGAAUUUGAAGCUGUAUCUAUAAACACACCAUUAUUCUGAUUAGGACACAUCUCUAAGUGCUCAGAAGCACUAUUAUGCUCCAAAAACUCAAUAUCAUGACUUUUAAUGAUCUUUGGGGUGUCUAAACAUAUUAGCCUAUAUGACUUGGUAACCUCACAAUAUUCCAAAAAAACACACUUUGUAUCUUUUGUAUUAAAUUUGGACCUCAUACAAUCUAGUAUCUUUGCAUAUGCAAUGCAUCCAAAGGUCUUCAUAUGUGAAAUGUAAGGUUAUCUUCCACUUCAAGCUUCUUGUAGUGUCAUUGAUGCAAAAAUACUUGUUGGACACUUAUUUCUUAUAUAUAAUGCACUCACUACAAUUUUGGCCCAAAAUUCAUAAUGAAGGUUUUGAGCAAGAAGCAUGUUCCUUGCGAUCUCCACAAUUAUUCAAUUUACCCUUUCAGCAAUACUAUUUUAUUCUGGAAUGUAUGGAGUUGUUUGUUUAGAAAUUCCUUCAUUCUUCAAAAAAAAAAAAGAACAUCAAAUUACUUAGACAUAUACUCACUUCCAUUGUUUGUACAUAGCAUCUUGAUCUUGUAGUCACUUUGUUUCUCAACAAGUGCUUUAAACUCCUUAAACUUCUAAAAGCACUCAUUUUUGGAUUUAGGAAUAUAAAUCCAAAUCUUUCUUGAAAAAUCAUCAAUAAAAAUGAAGAAAUACCUUAUUCUUUCAAUACUUGUGGUCUUCAUAGAUCCACAUAUAUAAAAAUGGACCAUCUCCAACAACUUUGUAAUACAUGUUGUUGCACCACUUGGAAAUCAAGCCCUUUAUUGUUUAUCUUGUAUACAUCCUUUACAUACAAGUUGUAUUAUAUUUUGGCUUGUAUUGCCAAGAUCUAAGCUACUUAUCAUAGACUUAAUCAUUGCCAUCCUCUUCACAUUCAAAUGGCUAAGGAGAUAAUAUCAUGUAUUCAACUUAUUUUCAUUUGAUGUAAAUUCAACAAAUGUAGCUACUUCCACUACAUUGACCUUCUUACAUUUGAGGUAGUACAAAUUCCCCUCUCUAGAGUCCUUGGCAACUAUGUUUCUAUACAAUAUUUUUACAAAACAUCUAUUCAUAUUGAUUUAAAGCAUAAAACCUUCUAUUAUAAGUUUAUUCACUGAAAGUAGGUUUUGUUUCAUCUUAGGCACAUGGAAGAUAUUUUUGAAUCUGAUUCUAUUGAUUUAUCCAUUCACAACCACUUCGACCAUAAUAGAACCAAUUCCAAUGUCUUCACAUAUAUCACCAUUUGCUUAAAUCAUAUUUGAUACUAAAAUAGCUUCAUAAGUAUGAAAUAAAUAAUUAUAAGAUAUCAUAUGCUUGGAAUAAUAUGAGUCUACAAUCUAUCUUGAUAUUGUAGCUAUAGAGAUACCAUUUGCUAUAAUAAAUAUAUAAUCUUAUCCUUUAAACUCAUCUUAUAUACUCUUUACAUUCUUCUUUUCCAUCUUUUGAUUUUGUAGCAAUUUCAAGCAAAAUAUCCUACUUUGUCAUAAAUGAAGCAAGUUUUGACAUUACCUUGUUGGUUUAAAUAGUUGUCCUUGCCUUAUUGUGAAUAGAGUAUUGAAUCUUCUCUUUGAAGCUCUUUUUAUUUCUUCUUGAUUACUUUAUGGCUAAAUGUUUGUAUCACGUAGUCUAUUGUGAGUUCUUUCAACUUGAUGGAUCCCAAAGCCACAAUGAAGUAGUUGUAGGAUUUUAGAAAGCUCAUGAAUAGAGUCAUGACCAUAUUUGAAUCUUCUAAGAUCUUGUUUAUAAUUACAAGUUGGUUUGCAAGUGCCUUCACUUUAUUGAUGUAUACCAUGAAGACUUUAUCUUCUUCCAUCUUGCAAGUGAAGAACUUCUUUCUUGUGUAAAUGAUGUUGGAUAAGUUCUUGCUUUCAUAGAUGUUGUAAAGAGUCUUCCAUGUAUCUAUUGGUCUUUUGCAAGAGAUAAUGUAGGAGAAAUUGGCUUCAUCAAUACUGGUUGCAAUUAAUCCAAAGGCCUUCUUUUUACAAUUUUUGUAUUCCUUUUCUUUCAUAUGAGCAUGCAUACUUGGAGGCUCUUCACUUUUAUCUAUAAUAUCCCAAAGAUCCAAAGAAAUCAAGAAAAAUUCUAUUUUUAUCUUUUAAUGGUAGAAAUUUUUAUCUCAACUUUUCAAUUGCUCUUAAGCCUUCACCCUCACUUGAAGCCAUGUCUAAAAGAGAAGUAUAUCAAAAAAAAGAUCAAGAGAAAUAGUCCUAAAACUUUCAAAAUUAGCAAAAAGAUAUUGCUGAUUUAUAAUUUUAAAAUCCUUCUUUUUGAAUAAACUAAUAUUUUGACUUUCGAAAUACUCUUAACUUUACUUCUAGAACUUCUCAUAAGUCCUAAAAACUAUAUAAAUAUCUCAAACUAGAUUUGCCACUCUUAUAUCACUUUUAUACUCACAAAUCACUUCUAUGCACGAUAAGAGGCCUUUUAAGUACCUUAAGCUUCUUUACCACAUGAAACUACAAAGAUAGUCUAUCAAAGAUUUAACUCAGCAAGAAAAUAAAAUACUAAUAUCCUAUAAAAUUAUUUUAAGAUAAAAACAAACAUCAAAUCUAAAAUAUUCUUAACAAGAAGUAAGAGCAAACUAAGAUUUAGAUCUAGAUUUGAAUGUAAAAGUUAGGAGAUUCUAAACCCUGAUACCAGCAAAAACAACAUGAUCUAUUCUACACAACAACAAAGAAUUCAUAGAACUUUAAAACACUUAAGCAAAUAUGAGUGGGUCCAUAACUUAUUAAAGAAAGAAAAAUUAAAAGCCACAAUACUUAAUAUUAGCAAGGUUGCACACAAAGAGAAGUGUGGAGUAAGAUGAUUCUUACUUCCAAUAGUCUUUAUUUAUAGCUUGACUUUAGAUGUAUUAUAGAUGAAUUUCAUCUAUAAUUAUUUUUAUCUUUUUUUGCUAUAUCUAUCUAAAUCCUAGAUUCAUCUUAAUGUAGCUGCGACUUCAGUCCUUAGUCACCACCAUAAUAUCUUAUCUUAAUUCUUUACUUCUUUUUGACUAUUAAAAACUUAUUAUAAUUAAGCUUUAUAUGAUGGUAAUUAAUCAAGUGUUUUCUAAUCUUUAACAAUUGUGUAUAUUUUGCAUCAAUUCUAGAACAUAAUUAGGUAAAUUUAUCCCAAUUCAAAGUAAUUAAAAAUCUUACUAAUGGAUAUUAAUAGAAAAUUGGUCAAAAUCAUAAUUUUAAAUCAAUUACUUAUAGAAAUAUUUAGAUUAGAUUUUUUUUAUUAUUAAAAUAUUUAUAAAAAUUAAAGAUUAUUUAUAAGUUAUAAAAGUUUUAUUAGAAAAAAAGUUAUAACAAUGGAGUCUUAAUAUGUCUUAAAAGUAAUAAUCUUAGUUGGUUUAGUAAUUUUUCUUGUUAUUAAAUAUUAAUAUUUAAUUAAUAAGACCAACGUCAACAUUAUAUUAAGGAUAAGAAUUCAAUGAAAAUAAAUAAACAAGUGAAACAUUUUUAGAGAAGUAUGAUAAAAUAAAAAUAAGAAAAUAUAUAUAUAUUAGAAAAAAAAAAUAAAAUGACUAUUGCCAAAAGACAAGAAAAUUAGAAACUCUUAAAAUAAGACUAGAAAUAAGAAAAGAAUUGACAAGAGUGAAAAAAAUUCACUCUUGCUCCUAUAUAUACUAUCUAGCUAAGAGCUAUAUGGCAAUGUUUUAUAGGACUUCCAAAACAUGUUGACUUUAUACGACAUGUAUUUUAACUUGUAAGGUAAGUUUUCUAUAUAUAUGCCACAUAAUCAACUUGAUCCACAAGCUACAAACAUGUAUAGCAUAUGGUUAAUUUGUUGAUAAAGUUUCUAAUCUAUCAAUCAACUACAAAUAAACGUAAAGACAAAACAAUAUCUAUAAAGUUUUUAAAAAACUUCUUUAAAAGAUAUUAUAAAAUAAAUCUAUUUUUAUUUAUUUCUACUUAAUCAUAUAGAUAAAUAUUAGAAUAAAUAUGUAUGUUUGUGACAUUAUCAUUCUUUUUAGGAACAAGUUCUAUGAGGAGCAAUCAUUAUAUAUUGAAAAAAAAUCUAAGAUUUGAUAAAUUAUAUUUGUUACAUAUUUUGAUCUUUAUUCUCUUCAAAGAUGGUUGAUAGAACCUCUUAGCCAUUGAGAGUGUCAUAUACUACGGCAAAAAAAUCACAUUAUUAUUUGAUUGUUGUUGAAGCCUUCAUAACUUCCUUCAAAUAAAAUAUUUGGAACAUCAUCAACAAUCAUCUCUACUUGUAAUAAAAUCACCAAAUAUGGAGAGUCUCUUUUAAGGUUGUGAUAUCAAACAUAUUGUAUCUUAUCAUCUAUUUAAAAAAAGACAUUUCAUUCUUCAAGAUCUUCAUCUUGAUUACAUCAUCUUGAAAGUCGUAACAAUUACAAUGUCUUAUUUGAUAAGUUAGCAAGUGAUAGCUCUUGAGUUAAAUCUUUUGGUUAUUGGUUUUCUAUUUCUUUAAUAUUAUACAUAUAUAGAAGUUACAAAGAAAAGUAGAAGGUAGAAUACUAUCUUUCUUGGAACUUGUUUCUUUUAUAGUAAAGAUUUACUAUUCUUCAUCUUGAUUUUGAUGGAUGUCAUCAAAAAAAGUCUUAGCUAUCUUUGCUGCAUUUGUAAGAUUAUUUUUUGGCUCCCAUGUGCACUAACUAAUAUCAUAUUCUUGCCAAUGAAUAAGAAUAUCUAAUCUGUUUUGGCAUUACAUUGAAUCUAAAAUUUCUUCUAUCUUGAAGUCUUAAUUAUUAUCUGCUUCUAUAUAAAGAGGUGGUAUUUGUCUUCUUUUCAAGAUGUUCAUUGUGUUACAUGGCUCUAAAAGAGACACAUGAAAUACAUAAUAGAUUUUCAUAUAUUCCAAUAGAUGUAAUCAAUAAGCAAUUAGAUUGACUUAUUCACAAAUAAGAAAUGGUCCAAAUCUAUGUUAAUCUAACUUGUCACAAAAUCAAAUAGUUUUUAUAUUACAAUGAAAUAAUCAUAUCUUAUCACCAACAUGGAUAUGAGGUUAUUCUUUGCGAUAGGCAAUUGCAUUGCUUUUUUGUUAUUUUUGAGUAUCUUCUAGUUGUACCUUUAUUAUUGUAUGUAGCUCAAAUAAAUGAUUGGCCAAAUAUUUUGCCAAAGGAUUAUCAACUUUUAAAAAUUCAAAAGCAUCAAGUUAUGGAUAUUAACCAUAAUUAACAAAGAAAGGUAUUUAUUAUGUAGAAAAAUAUAUUGUAUUAUUAUAAGCAAACUCUGCCAAUAGCAAAAGAUUUUUUUAAUCAUCUUAUUGGUAGUUGAUGGUAUAUCUCAAAUAUUACUCAAAAACUUGAUUUAUAUCUUCGAUUUUUCUAUUAGUUUGAAGAUAGAAAGCCAAAGAUAAUUUUAUAUUUAUAUUUAGAAUCUUAAAAAGUAUUUUCAAAAAUCUUUAAACAAAUUGAAUUCUCAUAUCCAAUAUAAUAUCUUUAGACAAUCUAUGAUAGCAAUAUAUAUUGUCAAGAAAAAACUUAGCUAUUUCUUCACAUAUGAUAGAUUUUGUAUAUGAUACAAAAUGUGCCAUUUUAGAGAAAUAAUCUACUAUCAUAAAUAUAAAGUCAUAAGAACCUAAGACUGGAAGAUAUAUGAUAAAAUCUAUAGAAAUAAAAGAUUAUGGUUAUUGUAGAAUAGAUAAUGGCUGAAAAAAUUUGUAAGGUUGAUAAAAAGGAGUUUUGAUCUUAAGCAAUCAUCACAUGAUUGUACAAAAUCUUUGACUGCUUUCUAUAUUUGAUGCUAUUAAAAAUCCUUAGAUAUUAGUUUCAAAGUUUUAUUGUAUCCAAAAUAUUCUAUUGUUGAGAAGUUAUGACAAGCUUGAAAAACACAUAAUUAUACUUCAUCUUGUAGAACAUAUAAGUAUUCCAAAAAAUAUAGUAAAUUAUUCUUGAAUUCAAACUUCGAAGUAUCAUAAAAUUUUCAAAGAUUUUUCUUAAUAUUAUGAAUAAAAAAAUGAAAAGAUCUACUUAAUUGAACUUACUUAAUAAAAGUUUAAUUAAUAUUUAAUAUUGAUUUUAUUGCUAAAAGAUGAAAAUGCUUUGGCUUCAAGAAAACUAUCCAUUAUUCAUCAAAAUUAGCAUCUUUUUUUCUUUGGUGUAAAAUGAGAUUGUUUAAAAAUUGCAUUUAAAAAACUUUUCAAUUUGUGAAGGAACAUGUAACACACUUUUUGGUUGGUGAAUUCUUGUUUUUUUUAUCCAUAAAUGAGCUUGAAUUCAAAUCUUAAGAAGGACAUGCUCUAGCAAACUUAGUGACAAUUUAAAAUACAUGUUGACAUGAAAUACUCAAGAUUCUUGUAAUUCAUAUAUAAAAUGAUUAGAUUAGGAGCACUUUUUAGAUAAUAGAUCCAUGCUUGAAAAAAAUUGUGAAGGACAUGAAUCUCAAAGAAAAUCCUCAAUACACUCUUGUAUCAUUGAAGAAAACUAGAAAGUCACUAUGUGGUUGUUGUUUUAUUUAUUCCAAAAAUUUCUUUCAAAAUAAAUUUGUAGAGGGAGAUUUGAACAUAGGAAAAGAUUAUUACAUGAGCUUAUACAUUAGGAUCACACAAUUAACUGUAAUCCAAACCACUAAAACACCAAGAAACAUUACAAUGCUUUUUCUUAGAAAUAAUACUCCUUCAUCAAUUGAUAACAACAAAGUACAAUCCUUUCACUCUCAAAAGAUUGCUCAAAAUACAUAAAUUCCAUCUAAUACUAGAAAUAAAACACUUUAUUCCAACCAAUCUGGAUUUACAUAAUUUCUGUAAUGUCAAAAUUUCUUUGUCAAAACACAUACAACUCUUAAUAAACAACAAUCAUAAUCUUCCAUCCAUAAUCAAUCUUCUAAUAACUUCUGAUAUAAUUCAAUUACACAGUACUCCAAUUAUAUAAUCAAUAACUCAUAAAUCAAUCUCUCGUUUAUUCCACAAAUUAACUUCUCAGUAUUUAAAAACUAUCCAUUACUCUUCAAUAACAAAGAAACAAAGAGGAAGCACCAAGCUUUACCCUGGCUCAUAACUAUCACAGUCUAGCUUCUACAAUAUCUUCUUCAACUUAUUUAUGCUUUACUUCUGAAAUUCCAGAUUCUAUCCAUGAUUCUCUACUUAAUCGUUUUUCAUAAUUGAUUCAAUCACAUGUCCUACUGAAUUGAUUAUCCUAAGAAUGAUUAAUCUACUUUAUCAAUAUCUUACAAAAAAAAAUUUCUACCCCUUCUAUACACUCAAAAGGUGAUGUAAUAUUAAAUUAGAAUGGUUAUUGCCAAAAACAAGAAAACUAAAAAGUCUUGAAAUAAGACUAAGACUAAAAAGGCAUUGACAAGAGUGAAGAAGAUUUCACUCUUGCCUCCAUAUAUACUCUUAACUAGGAGCUAGAUGACGAUGUUCUAUAGAACCUCCAAAAUGUGUUGACUUUGCUAGUCACAUGUCUUACUUUACAAAGUAAGUUAUCUAUGUAUGCGCCACAUAUUUAGCUUAUUCCACAAGCUACCAAUAUGUGAUUAACUUGUUGGCUAAGUUUCCAUUCUAUAAAUACAUCUAAAGUGAAAACCGCAUCUAUGAAGCUUUUAAGAAGCUUUUUUAAAAGAAUUCAUAAAAUUAAUCUAUAUUUACUUAUUUCUAUUUUAUUAUAUAAAUAAAUAUUGAUGUAUAUAUAUAUAUAUAUAUAUAUAUAUUCGUGAUAUUACUUCUCUUUCUAGGAAUAAGUUUCAUGAGGAGUGGUCAUCAUCUUUCAUAGAUCUAUGUAAUUCUUUAUGUUAGUUUAGAUGGAUAUUGUUGAUGAAAGGCCUCAACCUUCUUUGUUGCAUUUCUAAGAUUCUUUGUUGGCUCUCAUAUGCAUUUGCUAAUAUCAUAUCCAUGCUAAUGAAUAAGAUAUUCCAACCUAUUUUGGCACCGCCUUGAAUCUAAGACUUCUUCUACUUCGAAUUCUUGAUUAUUAUCCACUUCUAUAGGAAGAAGUGGCAUGUGUCUUCUUCUUGAGAUGUUCACUAUCUUAUAUGAUUCAAGAAGAGACAUGUAAAAUACAGGAUAGAUCUUCAUGGACUUUGAUAGAUAUAAUUGAUAAACAACAAGAUUGAUUUGUUCACAAAUAGAAAAAGUUCUAAGCAUAUAAUAGUCUAACUUAUCAGAAGCAUGAGUAGUCUUGAUAUUGUGAUGAAGUAACUAUACUUUAUUUCUUACAUUGAAUUGUGGUUGCUUCUUGCAAUAAGCAUCUGCGUUGCUCUUUUGUCAUUCUUGAAAUUUCUCUAAUUGUAUUUUUAUUAUUAUAUGUGGCUAUGACAAAUAAUUUGCCAAAUCUUUUACCAUUGGAUUAUCAACUUUAGAAAACAAAUUCAUAAGUAAAUCUGUAGAUUAGAUGAGUUCUCAAGACUCCCAUUGCCUGCCAUUCAGCUAAAAUCAAGAUUAUAAGCAAAUUUUACCAAUGACAAGACAAUUGUCUAAUUGUCUUAUUGGUAAUUGAAGGUAUACCUUAAGUAUUACUUCAAGACCUGGUUUAUGUACUUUGUUUGUCCAUCAGUUUGAAGAUGAAAAAUCAAAGUUAGUUUUAUAUAUAUCUUUAGAAUCUUAAAAAGAUUUCUCCAAAAUCUUGAUACUAAUUGAGUCCUCCUAUCUAAUAUAAUAUCCUUGGAUAAUCUAUGAUAUUGAUAGAUAUUAUUAAUGAAAAGCUUAGCUAUUUUUUUACAUAUAAUAGAUUUUGUACAUCAUACAAAAUAUGCCAUCUUGAUAAAAUGAUCUAUUAUCACAUAUAUAAAAUCAUACGAAUCUGAGACUGAAAGAUUCAUAAUAAAAUCCAUAGAAAUAGAAGACCAUGGUUGUUCUAGAAUUGGUAACAAUUGAAGAAGUCCAUAAGGUUGAUGACAACGAAUUUUGGAUCUUGUACAAGUAUUGCAUGAUUGUACAAAGUAUUUGACUACCUUCGACAUUUGAGGCCAUAAAAAAUCUCUUGAUAUUAGCUCCAAAGUCUUAUUGUAUUAAAAAUAUCUAACUGCUAAAAAAUCAUGACGAGUUUGAAAGACAUGUAAUCAUACUUCAUCUUCUGGAAUAUAUAGGCAAUCUUUAAAAUAUAUUAGGUUGUUUUUGAAUUCAAACUUUGAAGUGUUAUAGGACUUUGAGAAAGUAUUCUUGAUAUCAUAAACAAGAAGAUUAGAGAACAUACUUGAUUGAAUUUGCUUGACAAAGGUUGAAUCAAUAGGCAAUGUUGAUUUUAUUGCUCAAGAAUAAAAAUACUCAUGCUUCAAGAAAAUCAUUCUUUGUUGAUCAAAAGAUGCAUUUCUUUCUUUUGAUGUAAAAUAAAAAAAUUUAGAAAGGAUGUCUGAUAGACCUUGUUGUUUUUUAAGUUGAUAAGUAAUCUUGAAAUUGAAUUUGAAUAAAGACAUGCUUUAACGAGCUUGACAAUGAUUUAAAAUACAUGAUCAUAUGAAGUAUUGAAGAUUCUUAUGAUCUAUAUACACGAUAAUUGGACUUGAAGCACCUUCUAGAUAAUGACGCCAUUCUUGAAGUGAAUCUACCAUUGCAAGGAGCUCUUUGUCAUAGAUCUCAUAAUUAAUCUUGGAUGCUGAAAAUUUCUUAGAAUAAAAAGCUAUUAGAUGGAAUUUAUCAUUUAUUUCUAUUUGUGAUAAGAUAACACUUAUAGCAAAGUCUGACAUGUUUGUUUUCAUAAAAAAUACCUUGGAAAAGUAAAUGCAAUAUAAAAUUGAUGCAGAAGUAAAUUCUUUCUUUAAAGCAUCAAAUGAUGUUUCGGCUUCUUUAUUCUACUUAAGUUUGUCUUUAUAAGUCAAAUGUGUAAGUAGAGCUACAACUUAAAAAAAAGUUUUUGAUGAAGAUUUGAUAGUAAUUAACAAAGCUCAAAAAGUAUUGCACAUCUUAUAUUGUUAUUCGAAUCUUCCAAUCUAUGAUAGUUUGGACCUUCUUGGGAUCCAUCAUAAGGCCUUCUUUGGAAAUGAUGUAGCCUAAAAAGUCAACUUGAGUAGUGUAGAAUAUACACUUUUUCAACUUGACAUAUAAUCUUGCAUCUCUAAGUUUUUAUAAUACAAGGCAAACAUGAAAUUCAUGUUCUUCUAUAUUCUUAAAAUAGAUUAGAAUGUUAUUUAAAUAAUAAAUGACAAAAUCAUCUAAAAACUCAAAAAAAAUAUCAUUCAUAAGAUGUUGAAAAGUGACCAAUAUAUUUGUGAGUACAAAAGAUAUGACAUUAUAUUCAAAAUAUCCAUACCUAGUUCGAAAAGUAGUCUUCUAUUCAUCUCCUUCUUUGAUAAAAACGAAGUUGUAUGCUCCUCAUAGAACUAUUUUGGUAUAGAUCUUUGCUUAAUUGACUUCAUCAAAAAUUUCUGAAAUCAAAGACAAGGAUAUCUAUUUUUGAUGGUGAUCUUAUUAAGUCCCCGAUAAUCCACAUACAUCUGCAAAGAUCCAUCUUUCUUCUUUAUAAAUACGAUAGGAGCCUUGGCUAGAGACUUAGAAUGGCAUAUGAAGUUUUAUGCCAAGUUUUCAUCAAUGUACUUCUUUAAUGUAGCCAAUUCAUUUUGCAAUAAGCUAUAGAUUAGUUCUAAUGGUGAUUGAGCUCUUUCUUGCAGAUCAAUUGAAUAAUCAUAAGAUCAAUGCUCAAGAAGAAUAUCUGUAUUUUUCUUUUCAAAAACAUCUUCAAAUUCUUGAUAUUGGGUAAGAAUACCACUUGACAUUUUUUCAUCAUUAGAAAUGGGUAUAGUAUAUAUAGCAAAAGAUGAUCCUUCUUUUGUAGCAUGCAUGAAAGCUCUUGCAUCUACUAGUAAAGAUUUGGAUGUAUUAAACUUAUGUAGUUCUACUUCACUAACAUAAUCUUAGAUUAUAUUACCAAAAAAAUUAAGGUUAUGAGAAAUCCAAUCUAUUUGAAGGUUAUAUUUUUCUAGCCAUAAUAUUACUAAAAUAACCAGAUUGGAGGGAGAACUUAUUACAUUAAAUAUUACUAUGCUAUUAUGAUUUUUAAUUAUUACAUCUAAAAGAAUAGUCUCAUAGAUAACAUUUCUAGAAAACAACAAAUAACCAUCUAUGACUUCUACAUGUAUGGAUUUAGUUUUCUUCAUUAAAAGUAUUUUUUGAUUUUUGACAAAAUCUUUGUCUAUAAAAGAAGUUGAGGCUCUUGAAUCUAAUAAGGUAAAGACUUUGUGAUUUUAAAGUCCUAAACACACAUCUAUUGUGAAACAAGAUGAGGGAUCUGAGAAGAGAAUAGGAUCUUUAUUAGGUGUGGCACAUGGUUCCAAACACAUAAUCCCUAUUACAGGUGGAAAAACUCAUUUUCAGACACAUUAUCUUCUUUGGUAAUUAUGCUCCUUAUUUUGUAAUUGUGUUGUUUUUUUGGACAAUAUUGAGCUGUGUGCUUAAAUUCUCCAUAAUAUAAAUAUAAACCCUCUUGGCAAUGUCGAGUCUUUUUGUGCUCCGUGAGAGGUUUAAAACAUAUCGUAUCAAUUUGCAUUGGUUCCGACCUUAAUGAAUACGUUUCACAAAACUUAGGAGCUACCACCAUUACAUGACUUAUUUCUCUUCAACCAAGUCUUUGCUCUUGAAGUCUUUCAAAUAAUUAAUUGUUAUAAGCAAUGGCUUGAGUAAUAAAUUUUUCUAAAGAUUUUACUUUUGGUAUUGUUAAUAACAAAUCUUUAAUGCUAUCCUUCAACCCAUAUUGAAAUUGAUUAAUACGUACUUUGUCAUUUUAGUCCAUGUUGCCAUUAAGGUUUUGGAAUUCAGUAGAAUAUGUGGUGGCUGAUUAUGAUCCUUGUCAUGAAGAUAAGAGUUUGAUCUUUGCUACUCAUUCUUGAUCACUUUCUCUGAAUGUGGCCAUAAAUACUUUUAAGAAUGAAUUUAAAUCAUAAAGAAGUUGAAAAUAUUUUUCUAUCAAAGGUACAAACCAAGAAAGAGUACUUCUAGAUAGAAGUGCACUCAUGAAGCAGACUUAAGUAAAUCCAUCUGUGUAUUUGAAAGGAUGUAAUCUUAAGUAGAAUUUAACUUGUUGUAAAAAUCUUUGAAAUUUUGAUCUUGUUCCAUCAAACUUCUUAGGCAUACUAAUUCUUACCUUUCUUGAGCUCGUAGAAGCAAGAUCCCUCUGAAUUUGGUUGUGAGGCUGAUUGACUUGUUUCCUUUAAUUGUACAAUUUUUUAAUAUAGACUUUGGACUUUUUCCAUCGAUAUAGAAGUAGUGCUCUCAUGUUUGAUGUUGGUGAUGCAUAAUUUUUUUGUCUUAAGAAUAUUGACAAGCUCGUGAAGAUCCAUAAUAGUUAUAAAUCUAUUUUUACUACUCUUAGAAAUAACAUCCAUAAUCUUUCCUUCCAUAGAUAGCUCAAACAAAUCCAAAAAGUUAAAUUAGAAGAGGGUAAUCUACAACCUCUAAUAAAAUUUUUUAUAAAGAAGGAUAAUCUACUCUCUUUAAGGAAAAAAUUCAGUGUUAGAAAAAUAAGAUUUUUUGUUUAAAGGUGGAUAGUUUGCAAUCUUCACAAUUCAACAAUAGAAGUGGGAUAAUUCACUCACUUCAAAAAUAAGACAAAAAUAAUAUAUUAGUAAUUUUGUCAAAUAAUCAAAGACAUGAAUCUUGAAAAAAAUCCUCAAUACACUCUUGUAUCCUUGAAGAAAAUCAAAAAGUCACUCAAAAGGUGAUGUAAUCUUAAACUAGAAUGGCUAUUGCCAAAAACAAAAAAACUACAAAAUCUUAAAAUAAGACUAAGAUUAGAAAGGCAUUGACAAGUUUGAAGAAGGCUUCACUCUUGCCUCCAUAUAUACUCUUAACUAGGAGCUACAUGGCAAUAUCCUAUAGGACUUCCAAAACGUGUUGACUUUGCUAGCAACAUAUCUUAACUUACAAAGGAAGUUAUCUAUGUAUGUGCCACAUAUUUAGCUUAUUCCACAAGCUACUACAGAGAGCUAACUUGUUCCACAAGCUACCAACAUGUGGUUAAUUUAUUGGUCAAGUUUCUAUUUUAUAAAUAUAUCUAAAGUCAAAACCGCAUCUAUGAAGCUUCUAGAAAGCUUUUCUAGAAGAAUUUAUGAAAUUAAUCUAUAUUUACCUACUUCUAUUUUAUAAUAUAAAUAACUAUUGAUGUAAAUAUAUAUAUUUGAGAUACAAAUCUACGAUUACAAGAAGUUUUUUGUUGUGGAUUUUAUAGUUCCAAUUAUCUACUAAAAAUAUUUUGGAAUGAUAAAUAAGUAGGUGAAGUAUAUCAUGUAUUUUUAUUUGUAAUAAUACAACAUCCAAAACAAAUUUUGAUGCAUUUUUUUCCAUAAAAAAUGGCUUAAAAAAGUUAAUGCAAUACAAGAUUGAUACAAAAAUAAAAUUAUCUUCAAAGCUUUAAAUGCUACUUCUACUUCUUGAUUCUAUUAAAGUUUAUCUUUAUAAAUCAAACAUGUGAAUGAAGCUGUAAUUUGAAAGAAGACUUUGAUAAAGAUUCAAUAGUAGUUGUCAAAUUCCAAAAGUAUUAGACAUCUUUUAUUUUUUUUGGAAUCUGCCAAUUUAUAAUAGUUUGAACUUUCUUUAGAUCCAUCAUAAGUCCAUCAUUUGAAAUAAUUUAUCAUAAGAAGUCAACUUCAAUAAUAUAAAAUAUGUAUUUUUUUUAUUUGGCAUAGAAUCUUGCAUCUCUUAGUUUUUGUAAGAUACAACAAAUAUAAAGUUUAUAUUCUUCUAUAUUUUUUAAAUAGAUUAAGAUAUCAUUUAGAUAACAGACAAUAAAAUCAUCUAAAAGCUCUUAAAAGACAUAAUUGAUUAGAUGUUGAAAAGCUACUCAUACAUUUGUAAGCCCAAAAGAUAUGACAUUAUAUUCAAAAUUUCCGUACUUGCUUCAAAACACAAUCUUCCAUUCAUCUCCUUCUUUGAUGCAUAUCAGAUUGUAUGCUCUUCUUAGAUCUAUUUUUAUAUAAAUCUUAGCUUAAUUCAAUUGAUAAAAAAAUACAGAUAUCAAAGAUAGCAAGUACAUGUUUUUGAUGGUGAUCUUAUUGAAUCUUUGAUAAUUAACACACAUCUACAAUGAUCUAUGUUUUUUCUUCACAAAUGAAAUUAGAGCUUUUGUUAGAUAUUUAGAUUAGAAUAUAAAGUUCUUGGCUAUAUUUUCUUUAAUAUACUCCUUAAAUUUAGCCAAUCCAUUUUAUAAUAAACUAUAGAUUCAUCCAAAUAGUAGUUUAGAUCCUUCUUGAAGGUCAAUUGAGCAAUCAUAGUAACAAUGUUCUAAAAGAGUAUUUGUAUUUUUUUUUCAAAUACAUCUUAAAAAUCUUGAUAUUGGUUAGAAAUUCUAUCUAAAGUCUUUCUACCAUUAGAAAUAAGUGUGGCAUAAAUGAUACAAGGUGAUCUUUCUUUUGCAACACUCAAAAAAGCUCUUGCAUUUAUAAAUACAAGUUUGGUUGUACCAAAAUUAUGACUUUCUAUUUGAUUAAUUAUGCUUCUAGUUAUAUUUUUAAAAACUUUAGACUAUAAGAAAUCAAAUCUAUUUAAGAAUGUACUUUUUUAACUACAAUAAAUCUAAAAUGAUUAGUUUAAAAGAAAACUUAAUGAUAUUAAAUACCACAAAGCUACUAUAAUUAUUAGUUAUUACUUUUAGAAGAAAUCUUUUAUCAAUAUGUCUCUAGAAGACUAUAGAUGACCAUCUAUGAUUUCUAUAUGAACAAGUUUUAUUUUCUUUAUUAAAGAUAUAUCAUAUCUUUUAAUAAACUCUUCAUUUAAAAAACAAGUUGAGGCUCCUUAAUCUAGUAAGGCAAAGGCUUUAUAAUGUUUAGAUCUUAAAUUAAUAUCUAUUGUAAAAUAAAGAGAGGAUUCUAUAGAGAGAAUAUGGCCUUUUCUAGAUAUUGUACAUAGUUCCAACCACACAAUGCCUAUUGUAGUUGAAAAAACUUAUUUUUAACGUACUAUCUUUUUUGACAAACAUAUUUUUUAUUUUAUAAUUAUAUCACUUCUUUUGACAAAGAUGAGCACUGUAUUUUAGUUCUCUAGAAUAUAAACACAAUCCUUCUUGAUAAUGAUGAAUCUUUUCUUGCUCAGUAAGAGGUUUUAAAUAUACUGCAUCAAUUUACAUAUCUUCUACUUCCAAAGGUAUGUAUUGAAAAGAUGUUAGUAUUUCCAUUGUAUUAUAAUAAUAUUGAAGCCUAAUUUGGUGAUUCUUAGAUGAAAAUUCAAAAAACCAAUUGUCAUACUUUACAAAAAAAUCAAUUUCUUGACUCAAUGUUUAAAAAUCAUAUAAAUUGAGCAUAAAUUUUUUUAUCUCAUAUUAUCAUCUAUAAAAAAAUUAAAUAAAAAAUGCAGCAUCAUUCUACUUAAUAUCACUUACAUGUUGUGAAAAUAAUGAAGCAUACAAUAUUAUAGAUUGAUUUUUUUGUUACAAAAUCUAGAUCUUAUUUGUUAUAACAUAAACUUCAUCAUGUUUUCUACAUAUAGAUUGAAAUCCCGCCAACAAAGCUUUUCAAUUAUCCAAUAUUAGAUCAUGUUGUUGUAUUAUAUGCUAUCUUGCUUGAGAAUGCACUGGACAUUUGGUUGUGGAAGGUAAAACAAUGUUUUACAAGUAUCCAAGUAGCCUAGUGGGUUUCAACCAUCAAAAUACAAACUAUUUCGGAUCUCAAUGUAAAAGCUUAAUUCCAAUAUAAAGAACUUAAAAAUACUAUUUUUAAUAACUUUAAGCUAUUAUAAGCAUAAUUUUUUUUAUUACUUUAUUAGUUUUUUUUUUUUGUUUUUUUUUUUUAAAAUCUUAAUCCUAGACAGUGAGCUUUGGCAAGCUGUAAUUAUCAAUUUGUCCAUCCGAUUGUUGUAAAACUUCUACGACUAGUGUCUUUACAAGCCUUUUAAAUGCUCAAAAAGUUUCAAUCCAAUCCAACUUACAAAUUGCAAGAAAAUGCCAUAAAUCCACACUGAUGUUUCUUGACCAUUAACCAGAAAGUUGAUGAUGAACUUUGAAUUGCAAUUUUUCCUUCUCCAACCAUUAAUUCUUAUUCAACUUUGUGUGCAACUCUGUCUUUAAGUCCUUGACUUACUAUGCCAAAAUUUACCUUAUUCUAGCUGGUAGAUCACUAGAUAUUGUAGAAAUCCUGAUCAACCCCAAUUUGUCAACUUCUGAUUCUUCUUUGUACUAAUGAUCAAAUAUCCUCUAUUCAUGCUAUUAGAUUAACACAAAUUUCUGCAUUCACUUGGCAUACUCAACCGUCUAGAUAUCUCUAAAAUUUCAACUGUAGAUGUUUCUUUGAUUUCACAAAACAGUCAAGAGUACUAGCUCUCACUUUAUUGCAAAAAUCCAAUUCACCAAUACAAACACUGACUUUGAAUAAUGAUUGCCAAAAUCCUCCCAAAUCCUAUGAAACCAAGUCUUACACCUUGCAAAAAACUUUCAACUAGCUCUUUGCUCCCCUCUCCAAAUUAUCAGCUUCCGAUAUCCUUAUAUUUCUCCCAUCUUUCCUGAGUUUUUGAUAUGUGGUCCCCUAUUCUUCUGCCUUGGUCUUCUCGAAUUGGCCCAGCCAACAAAGCUUCUCCUCCGUGUGGUCUGAUAUUCUUCCACCUUAGACUCCUGAAUUGGCCUAGUCGACAAAACUUCCCCCCGUGUACUCGCCUCUAAGAGGAUCUUUUUACGGAAAGGACGUUUUUUGAAAAGGCUUAGAGAAUGGAACAGUUUGAAAUUGAACUAAAGUCUCCGUAUCAGGACCUCAUUGGGUUGCCCAACCGAGUCAAAUCUCAUACUGGAUAAGAGGCUUGUAACAAGACCUGGAUUGGAUCUCUCAGUAAUUGGGUCAAAUUGGCCCUUUGUAUUAGACUCAUCCAAAUGUUGAAUUAGUCCUUUCUCCUUUUGCCGACUCUUGGUAAGAACGGCUUAGACACAUUCCAUCUACUUGUACCAGAGAAUCUCAAGAACCUUAAUUUAUCUCCUCAAUUUUUCUUGGCUUUGUAUUUGAUGAUUCUCAUCAUUGAAAUUAAAUGGAUCAUUACAAUACUGAUAAGUAAGCCCCGAUUGCUUGCGACGGGGUGAGAUUAAAUGGCCCCUGAAUAUUAGCAUUGGAAUUGGCCGCCGUUUCUAACAUCUAAGAUGACUAAAUAUUAAUAAAAUCUUUUUCAUUUAUAUUUUCACCAUAGAGUCAUGUUAUAACACAACAACAUCAUUUAAAAAAAAAAUAAAAACCAUGAUAAUGUAAAAUCAAAAAAUAAUAUUUUAAUAAACCUAACUUAUGACCUUAGAAUUGGAUAGCUUUGGAAUGAAAGUUCAAUUUCUAAUUGUACUUGAUUGAUGAAUCCUUAAAACUUUGAUUUUGUACCAUCAAAGUUCUCACAUAAGAAUUUUUUUGGUUUUUUAGUACUCAAAUGAUAUUCCAUUAUUAAAAAAGAGAUAUGAUUUGUUGCAAAUAUUGAAGCAACUUUAAUUAUUUUUAUUUCUCAAUUUUUUUUCCAUUCUUAUUUCUUGUUGUGGUGGUAAAUUGAGUUGAUGCAUUGCAAGCAUUAACUUCCUUCAUUGUUCUUGUAUUUGUACCAUUGCACUUUUUAUUUCAACAAGCUCUACCAUGAUAAUACUCAGAGGAAAAAAAUGUCUAAUAUUGCUAAAGACAAGUGAAAGAAAGAACUUAAGAACAAAGAAAAUAUUAAAAAUAAUAUCAAUUUGGAAGAACAUAAUCUACAACUUCUAAUACUCUUAUGUCUUAUUAAGAAAAAAAAUCUACUCUUAAUCAAGAAAAGAUAAAGCUUUGAUAUUAUAAGUAAAUUCUUAUUAAUCUAUUAAGGACAAGAAUUCAAUGAAAGCAAAUAAAGAAGUGAGACNNNNNNNNNNNNNNNNNNNNNNNNNNNNNNNNNNNNNNNNNNNNNNNNNNNNNNNNNNNNNNNNNNNNNNNNNNNNNNNNNNNNNNNNNNNNNNNNNNNNGAAGUAUAAUAAAAUAAAAAAUUAAGAUGUAUAUUAAUAAAAAAUUAGAAUGGCUAUUACUAAAAGUCAAUAAAAAUAGAAAUUCUUAGAAUUAGAUUAAAAAUAAGAAAAAAAAUUAUAAGAAUGAAGAAAAAUUUAUUCUUACCUCCAUAUAUACUAUGUGGCAAUGUUCUAUAGGACCUCUAAAACAUGUUGACUUUGAAAGGUACGUAUCUUAACUUAUAAGAUAAGUUUUCUAUAUGUACGCUACAUAAUUAGCUUGUUCCACAAGCUACCAAUAUGUGUUGCAAGUGGUUAAUUUGUUGACCAAGUUUUUAACCUACCAAUCAAUGAUAAAUACAUGUAAAAUUAAAAUAUAUCUAUAAAGCUUCUAAGUUUGUUUAGAAGAUAUCAUAAAAUAAAUCUACUUUUAUUUACUUCUACUUAAUCAUUUAGAUAAAUAUUAGAGUAAACAUAUAUGUCCAUGAUACAUUGGACUUUUAUCUAUAUGUAUUAUCUAUUAAAAAAAAUCUAUAAAUAUAUCAACGAUAUGAUUAUAAUAAUAAAAACCUCAAAAUACUCUUAUGUUAUUUGAAAAGAAUAAAAAUUUAUUCAAAAGUAAUAUAAUAUUAGAACUAAAAUAACUAUUACCAAAGAUAAAAAGAGUAGAUUCUUGAAACUAAACUAAGAACAAAAAAGGUAUUGAUAAGAAUAAAGAAGGCUUAGCUCUUAUUUCUAUAUAUACUAUCUAUCUAAGAGCUAUGUAGUGACAUUCUAUAAAAUCUUUGAUAUGUGUCCAAUUUAUAAAAUAUACAUUUAACUUGAAAAUUAUUUUUUUGUAUAUAUGCUACAUAGUUAGUUUGUAUCAAAAGCUAUCAAUAUAUACUACAUGUGGCUAAAUCAUUGCAAAGUUUUUAAUUUAUCAAUUAACUACAAACAUGUCUAAAGUCAAAUCUAUAUCUAUAAAACUUCCAAAAAGCUUUGUCAAAAAAUACUUUCAAAUCUAUAUAUAUUUAUCUUCUACUUAAUACUUCUUGUUUAGAUAAAUAUGUAUGUCUAUGAUAUUGUCUCUUCUUCUAAGACUGAGUUUUAAAAGGAGUAAUAAUCAGAUGUUGAGAAAGUCUAAGAUGCAACAAAUUAUAUUUGCCACAUACUUUAAUCUUUGUUCCUUUUGAAAGGGGUUGUUAGGUCCUUUUAGCCAUUGAAAAAAAAGACCUUUGUCAUUUGGAUAAUAAUUGAAGAAAUCUAUAAGAUUAAUGAAGAAGAGUUUUUAAUUUAAUCCAAAUAUUACAUAAUUGUAUAGAUUUUUUAAUUACCUUCUAUCUUUGAGGCCUAAAAAAUCUUUAGAUAUUAGUUUCAAACUCUUAUUGCAUCUAAAAUAUCAUGUAGCUUGAAAGUGGUGACAAACUUGAAGAAUUUGUAAUUAUGCUUCAACUCGUGGAAUAUAUAAGCAUCCUUCAAAAUAGAAUAGAUUAUUUUUGAACUCAAACUUUAAAGUAUUAUAAGAUUUAGAUAUAUUAUUUUUAAAAUUACAAUAAAAGAAUUUGAAGAUAUAUUUGAUUGAACUUUCUUAAGAAAAAUUGAAUCAAUAGUCAAUGUUGAUUUUAUUAUCCAAAAUUGAAAGUGCUUUGGCUUCAAAAGAAUUAUUUAAUGUUAAUCAAAAGUUGUAUCUCUUUCUUUUAGAAUAAGAUGAAAAUACCUAAAAAAGGCAUCCAAAAAUCCUUAUUGUUUUCUUGAUUGAUAAGUGAUCUUAAAGUAGAGGCUUAACAAAGACAUGCUUCAACAAGCUUGGUAACAAUUUAACAUAUAUGCUGACAUAAAAUACUCAAGGUUCUUGUGAUCUAUGUCAAUAAUGACUAAAUUUGAAGUAUUUUCUAAAUAAUGAUGCCAUUCUAGAAAAUACUUCAAAUUUAGUCAUUAUAUUUAUUAUAAGAAUAAAUUUUUUAAAGAUCUAUUAUAAGAUUAUUAUUUAAAAUGAUGUAUCCUAAAAAGUAAACUUGAAUUAUUAAUAAUAUAUAUAUAUAUAUAUAUAUAUAUAUAUAUAUAUAUUAUUUUAAUUUAUAGACUUAUAUUUCUAAAUUUUUUUAAUAAAAAAAGUAAAUAAAGUUUAUACUCUUUCUUAUUUUUAGAUUAGAUUAAGAUGAUAUCUAAAUAACAAACAACAAAAUCAUCUAAUUUUUUUGAUAAAACUUUAUUAAUAAGAUGUUAAAAGCAAUUGAUAAAUUUGUGAGUCCGAAAGGUAUGACAUUACAUUCAAAAUGUCCAUACUUGAUUUGAAAUGGAGUCUUCUUUUCAUCUCCUUCUUUAAUACAUAUCAGGUCAUAUACUUCUUAUAGAUGUAUUUUGGUAUAGAACUUUGCUUGAUUUAGUUGAACAAAAAGUAUUGAAAUCAAAGAUAAAGAAUACAUAUUCUUAAUAUUUAACUUACUAAAUUCUUUGUAAUCCACAUAUAUUUAUUGUGAUCCUAAACUUUAAAUCCUAAAUCUUAAAUCCUAAAAUAAUUAGAUUUAAAAAGAAUAGAGUUAUUUUGUGAUACAUUAUCUUCUUUGGCAACUAUGUUUUUUAUUUUAUAAUUAUAUUUUUUCUUUGGAUAAUGUUGAAAAAUAUGUUUAAUUUUUCUACAAUAGAAUCACAAUCUUCCUGACAAUAUUGAGUCUAUUCUUAUUUAGUAACAGAUUUGAAAUGUACCAUAUUAAUUUUCAUUAAUUCCGGCCUUAAUAAAUAAGUUUUUGAAAACUUAGAAGUUGUUGCCAUAACUUGAAUUAUAUUUCUCUAAUAAAAUCUAUAUUUUAGGAAUCUCUUAAAAAAUAAAUUUUUGCAUAUAAUGGCUUGAAUAAUAAAUUGUUUCAAUAAGUUUACUUUUAGCUUUGCAUAUAAUUUAUUUUUGAUAUUAUCUUUCAAUCCAUAUCAAAAUUGAUUGGUAAGAACUUAGUCAUUUCAAUCCACAUUGCAAGUAAGAUUUUAGAAUUUAACAACAUAUAUUAUAGCUAAAUUUGAUCCUUAAUGUAAAUAUAUGACUUUUUUCCUUACUAUUAUUUUUUAAUUUUUUUUAAAUAUAGCUAUAAAUACUUAUAAAAUAAAUUUAAAAUAUAAAAAAGUUGUGAUUCUUUUUUUAUUAAAGAUACAACCAUAAGAGAGCACUUUUAGAUAAAAAUAAAAAUAUGAAUUCAACUUGAGUAAAUCCAUCAAGAUAUUAGGAAGGAUGCAAUCUUAAAUACAACUUCACUUAUAGUAGGAAUCUACAAAUUUUUGAACUUAUUCCAUCAAUCUUUUUUAGCAUACUUAUCCUUACUUUUGUUACACUCAUAGUAAUAAGACUUCUUAGCUUCAAUUGUAAGCUUGAUCUAUUUGCUUCUUUCAAUUGCAAAAUUUUUUGGCAUAAACUAUGAACAUUAUUGAUAAUUUCUUUGAUAGAUGUAGGAAUAUUACCUUAAUGGUUGAUGUUAGCAAUAUGUGAAAUUUCUAUUCUAAAAGUAUUAAUAAGCUCAUCAAUAUUGAAAAUAAUUGCAUAUCUAUUCUCAUUUUUAUCAAGAAUAGUAUCUAUAAUUUUUCCUUCUAACUUUAUAACAAAUAAUUUUAACAAAUCUUUGAGUUAAUUUAAAAGAAGAUAAUCCACAACCGUAAAAAAACAAAUAAAAAUUUCUACAAAGAAAGAUAGUCCACUUUCUUUAAGAAAAGAAUUUAUAUUAAAAGAAAAAAAUGUUAGUUUAAAGGUAGAAGGUUUCAAAUCUUUAAAACACAAUUAAAGAUGUAAAGAUAUCUAUUUUCUUUUAAAUAAAUAAAUAAAUAAAUGAAUUAAUAUUCUUAUUAAAUUAUUAAGAACAUGACUCUUAAAUAAUAUAAAUCUCAAUACACUCUUAUGUUACUUAAAAUGAGUAGAUAAUCACUUAAAGAUAGUAAUAUAUUAGAACUAUAGUGGCUAUUGCCAAAAAUAAGAAGACUAGAGUUUUUGAAAUAAGACUAAGAAUAAAAUAAGGCAUUGUUAUAUAACCUGAAUUCUUGCUUGAAAAUGUACCAUGUACAUAGCUAUGGAAGGUGAAUAGAAAAUGUAACAAUAAGAUUGUGAGCUCAAAUUUCACCACUCAAUGAAACUGAUGCCACACAACAAGUUCAAGAGAUAGAAUAGAAAAACUUCUAAUUAUGUAAUUUCUAAAUUGAUUUAAAUCUUAAUGUUAAAAAUUCAAAUAACUUUAAGUCUUCUAUGUAAUAAUUACCAAUAUUAAUAAAAAAAAUAUUUAAUAAAAUCACUAUGGUCUUUAAGGCUAUUUGCAUGAUCUCCAUUUAAAUCUCAAUGGUUUGUUAAGAUCAUUUAUAUAAUCCUUAAUUACUAAUUUUUAUAUGAUUAAAAAAUUAUAAUUAAUUAGAAUAAAUAAUUAAUUAAUUAUUUGAAAUUUAUAAAUUAUUAUUCCUUAAAUAAUUGAUGGUAAAAUUAAUUAAUCAAAUUAUUACAAUUAAUUUAUAAUAAAAGUAAAAAAAACUUAAAGGUUGAAUUAAAAGAAAAAGUAAAAGUUGAAAUAAAAAAAGUAAAAGAAAGAAGAUUAAUGGUUAAUAGUUAAAAAUUAAAAUCUAAAAUUUUAAAAUAUAAAAGUUGUGAAUUACUAUAAAAAUAAAAGUAAAAGUGAGACUAAAGAGAGAUAAAAGCAAAGAUAACGUGAUAAUGCCUAAGAAUUGAAGGCAAAAAAUCCUUUGUAUUCCAAAAUUUAUCAAAUUUUUUGAUUAACUUCAAAUUUAAUGAUUUUUACUUUCUUGAAAAAUUAACUUGAAGGCGCUCCUAUUUCAAUAAAUUUAAAUUCAAUUCAAUACCUAAGCCAAUUUGAAUGUUGAUCUGUUCAUAAAAUUUUAUCUUCAUUAAAUCAUUCAACUGCUUCAAAAUUUGAUUGAUGUAUAGAUUUCUAAGCCUAAAUGGCUUUCACCAAUUUUUGCUUUGAUCAAGUUGGCAAGUAUUAUAAGUUCAUAAAAACUUUUACUGGCCCUUAAUUUCAUAAUCCACAAAAAUUCUUACAACCUUUAAUUUAAUUUUUUAAUUAAAAUUAAAUUUCUUACAUAAAUUUAAAACAAGCAUAGAGAUAAAUUGACAAAUUUUUACUUAUAAAUAUGCUACAAUACUAAGACAAUCCUCAAAUGUGUGAAAUUCUUUUUAUUUCUCAAAAUCCAAAUCCACCAAAUACAUUUUUUACUUUGAAAAACUCUCAAAAUCUUAAUAUGCCUUUAAAUCACAUGAAAUCAACUUUUAAAAAUCUUCUCCCAAGUUUGAUCUGAAAUUCAUUUCUUUAAUCAACUAAAGAACCUUAGAAUUGUACUAUAUGUACAAUUUUGUAUCUUAGAAUCUCAUUUUGACCUUGGUUCAUAAUUAGUCCUAUUUGGAUAUCAAUUCUUUACAUUUUGAAGUAAUUUUUGCUAAAAUCUAUUCUUAAUUUUUUUUAAAAAUACAUAUAUCAAUUAUUUAUCUUAUUUACUUUGAUUUGGCUCACUUAAGCUCCUACAAAGUAAAUAGAAGUCUAUUCUUUAAGGAAGGAGUAUUAGCAUUUAUUGAUUUUUGCUACCUCUUUAUCUAUUAUCAAUAUUUUUAAGAUAAUUUUCUAAAAUAUUUUUAUAUAAGCUCUUCUAUAAUAUAAUUUUUUCUUUUUUCUUUCACCAUAUAGUUGUGUUAUCACUUAAUAGUGUUGAUAAGUAUAAAAAAGCAUUUACUCUUGCUUCUAUAUAUAUUAUUUAAUUAAGAGAUAUGUGACAACAUUCUUUAGGACCUCCAAUAUGUGUCAAACUCCUAAAACAUGUAUAUCAAUAUGAUAAUAUCAUUUAUCUUGUAAGACAAGUUUCUUAGAUAUAUAUAUAUAUCACAUAGCCAACAUGUAAUAUAAGUUAUCAAUAUGUGUGAUACGUGGUUAACUUUUUGGCUAUAUUUCUAAUAUGGAUAAUACAUAGCUAACUUAUCAAUCAACUACAAAUACAUAUAUAAUCAAAUUUAUAUUUUAGAAGCUUCUAAGAAGAUUUUUUAUAAGAUAUUAUUUAAUCUAUCUAUAUUUAUUUUUUAUUUUAUACCUCUUAUCUUAAUAAUUAUGUAUGUCUAUAACAUUGAUGAUAUUUAAAUUCUUUAGGGAAAAAACAAUUAUAAGUAAGGAUAUUAGCUUUAAAAUCUUUCAUUAUUACAUUUGGCUAAUCUUUUAAAUUUAUUGUAGUAGGAAUAGAAUCAAUGACAAAAAAAAGGUGAUUAAGACAUAGUCUAUAAACUAAAUAAUUUAAUAAAUUAAUGAGAUAGGAUUGUAAGCCCAUAUAAAAUAUUAAAUAACUUUAGAAAUUAAGAGCAUGAACCUUGAGAUUAAAAUGAAUGUUUGUAGUAUAUCUAAGAUCCAAAUUGGUUGUACCAUAUAAAUAUCCUAAAAUCUAAAUAAAUAUUACUAUUAUUUUCUAAAAAAGAAUUUUGAAUAAUAUUUAUCGAAAUUAAAAUUCAUCUAAAUAUAUAAGAUAAAAAAAUCCAUCAUACUUUGAAAUUACUGGAACUUAUUGAGAGUAGCUAUACUAAUGAAAGAUAAAAUAUUAUUUUUAGUAAAAACAACUAUAAUAAAAAUAUAUUAUUAAAGAUAAAAUUUUAUAAAGAUCUUAAGAGCAUAAAUACCUUAAUAAAAAUAAAAUAUAAAAUAUGAUUUAUCAUAAUGCUUAGUUUUUUUUUUAAUUUAUUAAAAUCUUAAAGUUGAUAUUUCUUUUUAAAAAGAUGAUAAAUAGAGAUCAUAAAAAUAAGAGUAUAUACAAUAGUAAUUAUGUCCUUGAUCCAUUGAAAUAAAAGAUUACUAAUUUUAUAUUAAAGAAUAAAAAUAUUAAAUAGAAGUUAUAAGAAACCAUGAGUAUGUAAAAAAAAUAGUAAAUUUCAAAUACUAGAAUAAAAAUGCAUAUUUGUGAUCAUAUAGAGUUUUGAAUAAAAAUCAAAAAAUAAAUAAACUAUUAAAAUUAUAUACUUUAUAAUCUAAAGAUGGCCAAAUAUAUACCAAGAUCUUAUUUUUAUAAAAUAAGAAUGUUGAAAAAUAUUGUAGUAAUAUCUAAUGAAUGACCUUUAAAAUCUUGUGCAUAAAUAAGAGCCAUUAUGAAAUGAAAGAUCUCAAGACACAUAAAGAUGGCAAAGAUAUCAUUAUAGCUAAUACCAAGAUAUUUCUUGUUUCUGCAAACAAUAAAUUAAGCCUUGUAGAAAUUAUUCUAUUGGCAUUUUUAUCUUACAAGAUUAUAAAAAUUAUGUAUUAAGAAGUAAUGGAUCUAAUUGAGUUAAAUUAAAUCAAUAAAAUUGAUAUAGCUAAUUUUUUUUGUCUUAUAUUACAUAUCUAGAUUUAAAUUAUUCAUGGCUUAUUUAUGUAAAUAAAGUAUAAUAUCAUGUAAUGAUGAAAAAAAUCUUUUAAAAAAUUUGUAUAAAAUAGUAUAUGUAGUACUUAAUUAAAUAAUUAAAAUUUCAAAAUAAGGUUGAUAAGUUAUUACUAAAGAAAUUUAAAAGAAUGGCUUUUUGUUUCUUUUAAAAAAUCUAAGUAAAAUAAAAAGAGAAAUGAUUGUGUCAAAUACUAACAAAUAAAGAUAGGUAAAAAGUAAGGAGUAUGAUGCUAGAAAAAUAAUUAGUUAUAAUAUCAUUUUUUAUCUUAUUAUUAAGGACAAGAUCAAUCAGAGGUGAGAAGAUUGGUAAGAAUACAAACUAAUAGAUAUCUAAUAAGAACAAUAUAAUUAAGAAAGUGAAGAUAAUGAUGGUGGAGAUGGUGGAAUAAAAAUUUCAAAAGAUAUAGUAGAUAAAGUAUCAAAAGGAACAGAAAAUAUAGAAGAAAAAAAAACAUCAAAAUUUUUAAUUAAGAUCUCAAUAUUAGUUGUAGAUAAAGAAUGAAAAAGAUUUGAAGUAUCCUUGUCUUUUAGUAUUUCAUCAAAUAUAAUUUAGAUAAUUUUUCUACUUUAAUAGGACUUAGAAAAUUAGAUAUGGCAGUUAAGGGCUUUAGACUAUUUAACUAAAUAUCCUCUUUGAACUCAUAUAAUGAAAUAUUUUUAUUUCUUGAUGUUUUUCUAGUAGCAUAUAAACAUAAGUAAUAAUUCAAGAAAUGCAAAGAUAAUUGAGGUUAAAAUUAUAAGGCAAUUAAAUGAUUCAUAUAUAUAACAUGCAUGAAAAGAUUAUUAGAAUUUAUUGCCGAAAAAAAUUAUUAGUAAGACAUAUUACAUAAGAAACUACUUCUAGCAACAAUUUAUGUAGUAGAUGAGUACUAAGAAUUAUUAUACUNNNNNNNNNNNNNNNNNNNNNNNNNNNNNNNNNNNNNNNNNNNNNNNNNNNNNNNNNNNNNNNNNNNNNNNNNNNNNNNNNNNNNNNNNNNNNNNNNNNNNNNNNNNNNNNNNNNNNNNNNNNNNNNNNNNNNNNNNNNNNNNNNNNNNNNNNNNNNNNNNNNNNNNNNNNNNNNNNNNNNNNNNNNNNNNNNNNNNNNNNNNNNNNNNNNNNNNNNNNNNNNNNNNNNNNNNNNNNNNNNNNNNNNNNNNNNNNNNNNNNNNNNNNNNNNNNNNNNNNNNNNNNNNNNNNNNNNNNNNNNNNNNNNNNNNNNNNNNNNNNNNNNNNAAUUUACAACCACACGUGAAGAAAAAUUAAGUUAGAACAUUUUGCCCAAACUCCAAACCAUUAUUAAUGUGAAGUUUGACAAUAGAAAAAUAAUUCACUCAUGCUAAGAAUAAUUAUAUUUAAGAAAUACAAAAAAUUGAUAUUUAAUUUAUUCACAUAUAUAAUCCUUUUUUAAUGGAAGAUUUGACAAAUUCCAUGAGUAUAAAGAUGUAUAAGGCAUUAAUGUAAGAUAUUAAUAUGAAAAAUUUUGGAAGAAAUUUUUAAUAUUGAUUGUAAUAAUGAUCAAACUUUGAUUGGAAAUUAUAAUUUAAAUUAUUAUAAAUUGGAUUUAUCAUCAAUCAUAGCAAAUUCCAACUUACUUACAAGUUAAAAUAACUUAUGUAAUUUAUUAUAAUAGUAGAUCAUUUAACAUUCCAAAAUCUUUUUGAAAAUGACAUUAAUUCUUUAGGAUAGUAAAUACCAAAUAUUGAUGAGUGUUAUAGUAUUAAUGGAUAUUGUACAAGAUUUAUAAUAAUAAUGUAUGCCUCAAUUAUUACAUAAAUAAUGUAUGGUAUCUAAAUUAUUAAUUUAAAUAAAAUGAUAGAAGAUUAAUAGAAAUUUGAAUAAAGUCAUUUAUGUAGUCUUAUUUAGAAAUUGUACAAUAUAGUAUUUAGAUUGCAAAUUGAAAGUAGAAUAAAAAGCAAUUAAACAUUGAAUAAUUUUUCUAUGUUUUUAUUUUUUAAUAAUUGAGUAAAAACUAUAGAAAUAAAUAAAUAAAAAAUAUAAAAGUCUUAUUUAUAAUACUUUUAUUAUUUUUUUCAAAAAUUGACCUUAAUUACUUCUACAACUUGCAUUUCAACUACUUGAUGUUGGUGACUUGUCUAAAAUUUUAAAAAUUCAAUAUAUUACCUCUAUUACAUUUUUUUAUUAUAAAAAAAAGAAUUAAUCAUGGCUUUGAAGAAAUCUUGCAUAAUUAGCUAAAUUCAAGAAGUACAUGCAUUGUUACAAUUCAAUACACCAAAUAACUAAUUUAAUUUUCAAUUCAACUUUUAUAAAUCACAAUUCAAAAAUCAAUAUACUAAUCCCGUAUUAUUCAAUGAUUUUUCUAAAACUUCCCUUUUAAUAUACUACAAUAAUAUUUUGGUCCUUUAAAUGAAUAAUUAGUAUUUUUUACAUUAAUACUCUUGAAGAUCAAUAUGAUAUUUUUGUCUCUUCUAUCUUAUGAUAGGCUAUGAAGUAUUUAUAUCCUAUCAUUAUUUUAUUGGAAUGGAUUACCAAAAAAAAAUCAUAGAAAGAAUCUUUUAAAUAGAAAUAUUAGAAUGAAAUUUACUAAUAUAUUAAUGCUAAAAGAUACUAAAUCUUACUACCAAGUUAAGUAGGCAUGGGAAAAAAUUAGAUUACAUACUUUCUUUAAAAUUUUUGUGGCCAUAAUUAAAAAAAGGCUUUUUCUUAAGAACUUUUCAAUUGCAAGAUAUUUCAUUUGUCAUAUGAGCAAUUUGUAUUGAAACCAUUGAGACUUAAAAGAUCUAUCUUUUUUUUUUUUAAUAAUUAUAAAAUUACUAGGAAUUUCAAUUAAUAGUACAUUCUUUUUACUUUACACUUCAUACAAUUUAAUAAAUAUUACUUUCAUCAUUUAAUUCAUCCAAUAAAUCAAAAAUCAAAGUGAUGAAGAAAAAGAUUGAAGAAUAUUUAAUAAAGUAGAAAGGACCAAUGUAUCAUCUUAGUGAAAUUUCCUAUAUACUACAUUAUGAUUUAAGGCCCUUAAUCAAGACUCGCUACAAGGUAUAAGAAUUUCUAAGUCUAAGUGGUUUUACUUUACCCACUUAGAUAGUAAGUCAAUUUUUAAUAAAGCAUGGAUCUCUAUUGGUUACUAACAUAGUCUUACUUAAUUUAGUCUAUUAUAUGACUAAAAUUAGUUACUUUAUAAACUUAAAUUAAAUUAUUAUGAUUAAUUUUAAAUUAUUCACCUAACAAAUGAUAAGUUAAUCAUUAAUCUUUCUUAAAGAAAAGACUUGAUAUGUGAUUUAUUAUUGAUUAAUAUCUUAACUUAAGCACAUAUCCUUAAAACAAAUUAUAUUUUCUUCAAAAGCUAUGCAAUAAAGAUCUUAUAUCUUAAAUUGACAAAAAAUAUUAAAGAAUCUACUUUUCUAUAUAGUUUGGCCAAAAUCCAAAUUGAUAAGUUGAUCAGACGCCAUUAAAUAAGUAGCAUAAUUUUAUUAUAAAAUAACUAUCAUAUUAUUUGUUAUUAUAGUUUUAGUCUAUUCCACUAAAAAAUACAGUUAUAAUAUAACAAGUAAAAAUAAUCAUUUUUUUUUAAUAAUUACAUCUUCCACCGUCAAAUAUUAAGCAUUAGUUGAGGCAUCAAUGGCAUAAGCUUUGGCCUACCUCUCUAUACAUAUUACCUUUUGCAUCUAUCUUUUUAUUAUUUAUACUUUGACUUACUUUAAUUAAUCACCAAUUGUACUCUGUUAAUUAUGUUUAAGAUUUUGCAUGUACAUCUAAUUAAAAUAGUAUUUUCUUACUUAAUAUUACCUUCAUCCAUCUCCUAAUUCAUUACUUCACUUUUAUUUCAUUAAUUAUUACUUGAAGUUUAAUAAGUAUGGCAUUUUUUAUAGGCAUAGAUUCUACCUUGGUAUUUUAAACUUGUUUAAAAAAAUAGUCUUCUCUUGGAGUCUAGAGCUCUUUCUUAUCUUCACUUAUUUUGGGGUUUCAAGAGAGUCUUUUUUAGGCAAGAUCAGCAAUAAAGGAUGAAGCUUACUUCCCACUAUUACUAAUUCCAUAAAUGUCUUUAUUGAGACUUCAUCAAUCUUUGGUAUAACAUCAAUCUUAAUCUUUAAUUCUUCUAUGGUAACACUCUUUGCUUCUAUUACAAAUUUCAUAAGUCUCUUAGACACUUCUCUUUCAAAAAUUAGCACCUACCAAUACUUUCUUAUGAUUUCUAAGUCACCAUUAGUCUUGCAAAAUCUAAUAAUAACCAAACUUAUAAUUAUCUUAUUGUAGAGGUCUUGCAUCAUUUCUUUGAAUUUUUCUAAUUUAUUAAUAAACUAAAUAUAGGCUAUAAUUAUCUAAAUAAUAACUAGAUGUGAAUCACCAAAUCGACUCACUUAUGCAUUUAGUACAAAAAUUAUACUUAUUAUACUUAAAUCUAUAAGUAUUUUUAAUUAGUAAUUGAAUUUUUAGAUAAAUAAAAAAAAUAGAUUACUAAUAACAGAUAUGCAACUUGAGGUAAAAUUUCUGAAGAUGCACUUCUAAAAAAAAUGUUUAUUUUAAAAAUAUCUAAGAUUAAAAGAGGGUUCAAGAAUGGCUAUUUUAUUGUUAUUGAUUUUUUAAGUAUAUAAGAAGCUAAAGUAAGGAAUAUUGAUGUAAUUCUAUUUAAAAUAAAAAAAUAAAAAAACUAUCUAUUAAUAUUCUUUAAAAAUAUAUAAAAUCAAUAUCAAAAGAAUAGAAAAGAAAUAUAUAUAUAUAUAUAUAUAUAUACAUAUCUAUAAUAGUAAAAAAACAUCUAAAAAGAAUAGAAAAAAUAUAUAUAUAUAUAUAUAUAUAUAUAUAUAGAGAGAGAGAGAGAGAGAGAGAGAGAGAAGAAAAAGAAAAGAAAAGAAAAAAGAAAAAAUAAAUAAAAAGACAAAAGUCUAUCCUUGAUUUUUAGUAGCGUCUUUGUCGAUAGGAGUCUAGACCACCCUAGAUCCCUCUUCUUUUUAUUUGAAUAUUUACUUGUGAAGCAUUUGGAGAGCUUUGACUAUUAUGGAAUGCUUCUAGUUUGUGAUUUUUUCUACUCAAUUAUAUGGCUACAAUAGUGCUAUGGUAAGAAAGUGAGUUCUUGUUCUUUUUUAUUUUUAUUUUGAUUUUUGUUUUUUAUUGUUUUGUUUUAUUUUGUUUUAUUUUUUUUUUAUAAAAAAAAGAAUGAAGUGAAGUUGGUACUAGAUGAUGCUAGUAAAGGCAUAGAGCACGUAUCAUUUGGAUCUAGUAUUGAAGUACAUUAUAGAAUUUCAAAGAAUUGCAAUGAGGUUCAACGGAAGUUUUAUAAGUAGUCAUGUAUUUCUUGAUGUGAGCAUAAUUAAAAGCUCCAAUGAUUAGUUAUAAUUAUUUUUAUACUUUUUAACAUAUUUUUACUAAUUUUAAUGCUAAUAUAACUAAUUAAUAGAUUCAAAUUAGUUUUUUAGUUAAUUAUGACUUUCAUCAUAUCUUUAGGUUGUUAAUUAGAUGGAUACUUCUAAUUAGUAGAUUGAUUGACUAUUUUAAAAUUAAAAAGAAAAAAAAUUAAAUUUAGAGGAUCUAUGAUUUUUUUCUUGAAUUACUUUAAAUCUUUUUUUAGUAAUAAAACUAUAAUUUUAGUAGAUUUUUUCUUCUAAUUCUUAGGAAUUAUAUCUUAAAUUAAUCCUUAAUCUUAAUUUUCAAUCCAAAAGCUAAUUUCUAAUUUGAAUAUGGUUAAAAAGUCCCAUAAACCUAAUUGCUCUAUCUUCUUAAUCAAUUUUUAAGAUUUUUAAGCUUAAAUUUUAUUUUGUAAUUUAAUUGGAUUAAAAAUAUAAAAUCUAAUUGUUAAAUUAAUGAUAAUCUUAAAAAGAUGGAGACAAGCUAAAUUUUUGGUGGAGUUUCCUCUCAUAGUGAUUUUAAACACUACUUGAAGUUGAAAAAAAAAAAAAAAAAAAAAAAAAAAAAAAAUUGGAAAAAAUCACAAAUUUAAGGAAAAUUUACAAUUGGGUUUUGGAUUUGUCAAGAGCUCAUGCUUAAGGGAGUUUAAAUUGAAGAAUGGUGAUUAUGAAGGCUUUGAUGGCAAGAACCUUUGCUAAUUUCCAAGUAGGCUAAUUAGAAUUAAAAAUGGUAUUAAAAUUAACAACUAAAUUAGCAAAUUAAUUGAUUCUUGUGAUUUAGAACUCAAAUUUGGACUUGUGAAUAGCUGAUUUUAGACUAAAAAUAUGUUUUAGAGACAUUUAAGGUAUUAGUUUUACCAAAUAGGGGUUAGUUUUUGAGUUCUAGGCAUUUCCAGACUUGAAAUCGGGUUUGGACUGAGAGUUAUUGAGGACCCUUGAUCUUGGUUAGGAAUUUUCCAAUGUUGAUGGUAGAGAUGUAUUUGCCACUUUUGGGCCUCCUCCUACCUGGUUAAGAGGGCUUAGGUGACUGAAUUCCCUCUCUAUCACUCCAUCUUCUUAUGGCAAAGCCAUGGCAAAAUGUUCCCCCAUCUUGUGAAUGCAAAUCUUCUUCUUUAAACUUAAUUGGCCUCAGUUUUAACUCGCUCAGUCUAUCUCUUUUUAUUUUCUUGUUAUAAAACUUUAUAAGUAGAUUCUACUCACCUUUAGCUUUGUAACUGCAUAAAGCAAUCUUCAUUUGAAGUUGUGACGAAUUUUUGGCGAGUUUUCAAGGUGGCACGAGUCUACUACCUUGGCAGUGUAAGAGCAUCGGCUUAAAAAAUCUAUAACUCGGUGACUUCUGACUCAACUUUGAUAUAGAUUGUUGAAAUGAAUGCACUCUAAAGCUUGGUUUACUAAAAAAUUUAAAUCACUAAUUUCCAAUCUAUAUCAAAUUUUUAAUGAAUUUUUAAAUGUGAAGGGAUCUGCUGCGUAGGCAGUGUUGAACAACUAGUUUUGAAAGAUUGUAUCUUAGUACUUACUUACAUUUUUUUUCUGGAAUUUGUUGGAAAAAGAACUCUACUAAGUGUGGUUUUAGGAAAAAUUAUACUUGUCAAUUUUAAACUAUUAACUGAUUUUUAGUGAAUUUAUAAGUAGAAGAGGGUCUGCUGCCUAGGCAGCUCAAGUUGCCUUGCUGUGAAAAUACACAUCUCAGAUGUCAAACCUUGGAUCACCAUGAAAUUUGGUAGAUAGGAGCAACUCUAUGUCAACCUCAACCACAAAAAAUUUCAAGUGCAUAAAAGCUGUGUGGAAUUGUUGGAAAAUUUUUGAAUAACAAGGGAUCUACUGCCCUCAACUUGACAUACCCUAAGUAAGUUUUUUCUUCCCUAAUCACCCUCUAAUCACAUCCCUUAGCACCUAAAUUACUAUAUUAUCACUCAUUUUUCUAAUUAUUAUUAAUUAAUUUUAUUUGAUAAUUUCAAAGAACUAUUAUCUCACUUGGAAAUUAAUCUUAAAUUCUUAUCUUUCCAUCCAUUCUUACCCUUGAGGAUAAAAUAAAAUGAAAUAAAAUGAAAUAAAAUAAAUAAAAAUUAAUCUGGUCUUUUAAUUUUUUCCUAUUUCUUUUAAUCUUAACCUUUUAACUUUUAAUUUUAACCUUCAACUUUUACCUUUGUUACUUUUAAACUUUCACUUAAAUUUUAAUUAUUAAUUCUAAAUUAAAAUUUAGUUUAAUUUAUUUAUUUAUUAUUUUUUUUAAUCUUCCAACUUUCAUCUUUUAUCUUAAAAAAAUCUUAACAUCAUGUUAAUGCUGAAAUUUAAUAUUUAAGGCUAUUUAUUAUUAAAUUUCUAAUUCUAAAUGAAGUUUUGACAUAAAAACUUCAUUUGUAGAUAACUUCCUAUAUAGAACUCUAAUUUAUAUGGUUAGUACCACCUUGGAAAGCCCUAGACUAGCACUCUAGCAGGGCAUUCAUUUUUUUUAUUAUAUUUUAUUCUAAUUCAUAAUUUUCAGAGUUUAAAUUUGAUAGAAUAAAUCUUGGAAGCCACUUAACUAAAAACUAAAUGAACUACAAAUGCUAAAAAUUAAAUCAUAAAAAGGUGUAACUAACUUGUUGUGUUGUUGAAUGAAUCUUGAUUAUUAUCUCAUUUUGGUUUUCCUAUCUUAUAGAUGAUUUGCAUCUCCACAUUAAUUAGUAUUCGACUCUGAUGUAAGUUAUGAUCUAAUUAAAUUAAAUUUAAGUUAGGGGAGAAAAAUCCACUCACACUUGACAUGGGCAAUAUGAAGCUUGAGUAGUAAUUAGUAUUGGUAAAAAUAUUGACAAUUGGAUCUUGCAUAUAGAGGUGAUUACUAUUGUCAUCAACUUCUUAUUUGUAUUUUCUUUUCUUUCUUGAUUCAAUUCUUGAGAGUCUUGUGUGUGCGGAAGUAAACAUUUGAGGCAUUUUAGCUUUGCUACAAUAGUUUGUAAUCUUGUUACAAGGAUUUUUGGAGUUGAUCAUAUUGAUAAUGUUCUUUAGCUAAGGGUACUUGACUGUCUCAAUAUUACUGAAGUGGGAGCGAUAAGACUAAAAAUAAAUUUUUAUUGUCAAUGAAGAAUAACAAGAAUAACAUUGUUAUGUGGUAAUAUGAUUAUAUGGUAAAAAAUAGAAAUAAAGAUGUCAUCAUUGCAAAGCCUAGUAGAAAGAUGUAGUAGAAAAAUAAGAAUAAAUAGUAAGAAGAUAGUAAAUAUUUUAGUCUUAAUAUUGUCUUUUGUAGAAAGAAUUUGUAAUUGAUUUGAAGAAUCAUAAAUACCUCAAAUCAAAGUAAAUGAGAUAAAUAAAUAAUAUUGAUAUCUUUAGAAAAAAUAUAGUAUUAGAUUUAAGUAAAAAUUACCUCAAAUUACUAAAAAUUGAUACUUGGAGAUGACCAAUUGUGAAUAUAGGUCAAAAUCAGAUGCUGAAGUACAAAGCUAUGCAUCUACAGCAACUCUAUGGUGUUUUUGCAAAUCAAAGAAAGGAUUUUGAUAGUAGACUUAAGAAGAGAUUUUUAAAAGUUCAUUUCAUGUGGUUUGGAUUAAUAUUGAGGUUUUGAGGGAUUUUUAAAGUCAAUUGAUGUACUAGGUGGGUAUAGAUUUUGAAAAAUAAAAUAAUUUUAUAAGUUUGAAAAUUUUAUAAGUUUUGUGGCAUAUUUAUAAAUAAAAUUUAGUAAUUUAUUCUUGUACUUGUUGUAAAUGUAUGUAAAAAAGUUGAAAUCAAUCAAAUGGUUGGAUUGAAGAGUAUGAGAGUUUUUAUGAAUUUUGGUUUUAGAAAUUGGAGUCUAGAGGAUCAAUGAAGAUUUUCAAAAUAUCUAUCAAUCUGCUAAUUGGAUUGAUAUAAUUUUUUUCAAUAAUAGCUAGCUUGACUUCUAAAAAUAUUCUAAAGUUUAAAAUCAACUUAAUAGUGAAAUUAAGAGAUUGUAAUUGUGGAAUAUCAACAUCAAGGAUAGAAAAAGAUACCAGCCAAUACUUAAGUGGAGUUUAGAGAUUAUCAUCUAUUUAGUAUAUGCAAUCUUCUCCAAAAAAAAUUUUGAUUGUUUUUAACUUAGUUUUUGAAAAAUUUAUAAUUUAUAAAUUAAAAUUAAUAUUUCAAUUGUUAGUAAUUGAAUUUUCAAUUUGUUGUAGGAUUUAUUUAAGAUUUAGAGUUUGAUUGGAUUUUGCUUAAGAUUUCAUUAGGAUUUCAUUAAAAUUUCACCUAAGAUUUAGUUAAGAUUUAUUAGAGAUUUAAUUAAGAUUUAAUUAGAAUUUGAUUAAGAUUUAUUAGGAUUUUAAUUAAGAUUUAAUUAGAAUUUUAUUAAGAUUUAAUUAGAAUUUUAUUAAGAUUCAUUAGGAUUUUAAUUAAGAUUUUGAUUAGGAUUUAAUUAAGAUUUAAUUAGAAUUUUAUUAAGAUUCAUUAGGAUUUUAAUUAAGAUUUUGAUUAGGAUUUAAUUAAGAUUUGAUCUAAGAUUUGAUUGAAAAUAAUUAGAUUUCAAUUAUAAUUAGAUUAUGAUUGAAUUAAGAUUUAUUUAGAAUUUAUUUAGAAUUUUUUUUAGGAUUUUUAAAGAAUUUUUUAUUUUAAGAAAAUUUAUUGAUAGUAUUUCUUUAAGAUUAUUAUUAUUUCUUUAAGAUUUUAUUUUUAUAUUCUUUCUUUACAAUUUUUUUUUUUUUUUUUUUUUUUGAGAUUAAUUUAUAACUUCUUUGUAUUAAUUUUAUAACUUCUUUUAAAUUUAUUUUAGAUUGAUUAAAGUUUGAUUAGGAUUAUUAAAGAUUAUUUAAAGUUCAUUUAAGAUUCUAAACCAUGGUAGGAUUGUUGUUGCAUUUUUAUUUACCUUCUACAUUUAGAUUUCUAAUGUAUUCUCAAACAAAUAUACAUGUAAUAUGACAUCUCUAUGACAAAGCUCUUCUCUCCUAAGUACUCAAUGGUGUUGGCAUUGAUAGAUUGUGAGUAGUAAAUAAGAGACAAUUUUCUAUGUUAAUUAGCUGUAUAGAAAUUGAAUAUUCAAUGGUAUUGGUUUUUGAAUAAAAGUAUAGUGAGUAGUAGUGGAAAGGAAAUUAGUAAUAAGAAAUACUCCAGUUUAAGAGAAUAAAAUAAAAUAUUAAUAAUUAAAAUUAAGAAGGAUCCAUCUAAUAUUGUUAAUUUAUAUGAACAAGUAGUUGCAAGUUGUUAGUGGAAGUAGAUCUAGAAUCUCCAAUUCAUAGCAUGAAGAUUGGACUUUAUAUGAAAUGAUAAUUUGUGAGCAUACAAUUUUUGGAUCUAAUAUCUUAAAGAAUGGAUGAAAUACAAGUUCAAAUCAAUUGAUUGUUAUUAAGAAUUGGUGUAAUUGGUCAUAGCUUGUGGUAUUAAAUUAUGUAAAUUCUUGCUCAAGAAUGCAUGGAGCAUGUGGUUGUUGAAGGUAAAGUUGUAUUUUACAAGUAUCCAAGAAGCCUAAUAGAUUUCAAUUAUAUGAGUACAAAGUAAUUCAAAUUUCAAUACAAAAACUUAGCCAAUAUAAAGUAUUCAAAAACAUUCCUCUUAGUGAUCUUAAGUAAGCACAAAUCCAAAUUGCUUUGUUACUUUCAUCCCUUUUCAACUUUCAAUUUUCUUUCAAAAUCUUAAUCCUAAUCUUAGACCUAGAUAAUGAGCUUUAACAAGCUGUAAUUCUGAAUUCAAUUAUUGAAUUAGUACAAAAUAUUUAAUAUUAGUAUAAAUACAAGUCUUCUAUAUGCUCAAGAAGUUUCAAGCCAGUUCAACUUACAAAUUGUGAGAAAACGUGAUAAAACCACAUUGCUAUCUCUUAGCCACCACCUCAAAAGUUGAUGACAAACUUUGAGUAGCAAUUUCUCCUUCUUCAAUUAUUAACUCCUACUACAAAUUUAUAUAUAGCUUGGCCUUUAAAUCUUCUAAAAUCAUGUAAAAUUCUAUCUUACUUCAAGUAAUAGAUCUUUGGAUGUUGUGAAAUCUUUAAGCCACUUCAAGUUAUGAAUAUCUAGUAUAUCUUUGUACUAAUGACCAAAUAUCUCCUAGCUAUAUCGUUAGAUUAAUACAAAGUUUUAUGCACACUUAAUACAGUCAAUCAACUAGACAUUGAUAAAUUUUAAACUACAGAUAUUGCAUCAAUUUUUCAAACCACCUAAGAAUGCUAAUCCUAAUUAUAUUGCAUAAAUUCCAAGUCACCAAUACAAACUCUUAUUUUGAACAUCAAUUGCAAAUUCAUUCCAAAACCUAUUAAAACAAGUCUAAUGCACCUAAAAUGAGCUUAAAGCUAGCCCUUUGACUUAACUUUUUGAUCUCCAAAAAAAUCUAAAAUUGCCAUAAAUAUAUGGUUUUGCACCUCGAGAUCUGAUUUCAACCCAAUUUGACAAUUGGUCCUCUCUAAGUAUCAAUAUUUGGUAAUUUGAGGUAUUUUUUGCUUAAACCUAUUGUCAACUAUCUCUUUAAUAUGUCUAUAUCUAUUAUUUAUCUCAUUUACUUUGAUUUGAGGCAUUUAUAUCUCUACAAAGCAAAUAGAUGUCAUUCUUUAAAAGACAUUAUUAAGACUAAACCUUUUAUAACCUUCCUAUCAUUUAUCCUUAUUUUUUUAAUACAUCUUUCUACCAUGCUCUUCUAUAAUAACAUUAAUGUUUUUAUUUUUCAUCAUAUAGUUGUAUUACUAUAUAACGAUGGUAACUUCCGGUUAGACUUUAGAGAGCUCCAGUGCAUAGCAACUUGGUAGUAGAGUAUUGAUAAUAGAAAAGAUUAGCAUCAUGAUGUAGAAGCACAACUAGAAUAAGGAGCUAUGGCAGUUGAUUCUUUAUACCAAGACACUUCUAUAUGGUGGAUUAGGAUUCAAUAUCCACCAUCUCCAAUGACCCGCAUCUUGGCAAGAUGAUGGCUUCUAGUUAAUUAUGUUUAGAAGUAAGAAGUUAGAAUUUAACAAAAAAAAAAAAAAAAAAAAAAAAAAUACUAUUUAGAUGAAAGUAUUAAGCAAAGAUAGAAAAUUUUCAUGGAUAAAGUAUUAUAGAUGAUUUUUCUUAGAUGAAUUAUUAUUUAUAUAUAAUAAUUUAUUCUUAGAUAAAUUAUCCUAUUUAUAUGAUUUUUAUGGAGGAUAAAUUUUAAUUACAUAAAAUAAAAUAAAGUAAAAUAACAAUUAAUUGAUAAAAAAAGAAAAAAAUAGAUAUAUGAAUUAAUUUUUAAUGCAUGAAUUUGGAGUGAUUUUUUAUUAUAAGUAUAAGUUGAUAGUGUACUUUUUUUUCUUCAUUACUUGGAUGUUUUAAGUUGAUUAAAGGGUGAUUUAAUUAGGAUUUAAAUAAGAACUACAACUUAUUAAACUUAAAUAAUUAAUUUAUUUGUUGUGAAUUAGAAUAAACUUCUAAUUAAUAGAAGUUUAUUUAUCCUACACUUGGUGCUUUAAGUAGGUUAAGAGUGAAUUGAUUAAAAUUUAAAUAAGAGCUAAAAUUUCAAAGAUUUUUACAAUUAAUUCACUUGAUAUGAAAUAGAAUGAACUUCCAAUUAAUAGAGGUUUAUUUUAGCUCAUAUUAGAUCUUUUUGGUUCUCAAUGAAAUGAUUCUAAGAUUGAUCCUUCAUUAAGAGACUAGAAUCUAUCUCUUAUAAAGAGCCUAUAAGGUUUUCUUUCAUAUUUCUUUCUUUGAUCAAUAAAUUAACUCUCCAUUUGCUCUAAGCACAUAGGUUUGUGUCUUAAGAUCUAGUUUUGACCUUGGUUCUUAAUCGGCUCUCUUUGAAUAUUAAUCUAAAUUUUAUUUGAGUAAUUGUUUUGAAAGUUAUUCUUUAAUUCUACCUAAAUAUACCUAUAAUACUAUUAUUACUAAUCUACCUUGUUUUGCCUUGUUUAUGGUCCUAUAAAAUAAAUGAUUUUUAAAUUUUUUUUUUAUCAAAAGGUAGCUUUAGCUUUAGUUUUUUUUAUUACAUCUUUAAAUUUUCAUAUAUAUAUAUAUAUAUAUAUAUUUAAGGUAAUUUUAUAUUUUAAAUUAUUUUCUCAUAUAAUUCUUCCUUUCGUCUUUUAUCCAAAAUAAUUGUGUUACAAUGCAACCGCAUAGUGAUUCAUGGACAGGUUUAGGGUUUAAUAGCUGUCCAAUGUUGAAGUGCUCAUUAAGAAUAACAUUAAACAGAUAAUUUGUACUUCUGAGGAGAUAUUCAAUUUAAUUUGAUGAUAUCAAUGAUAUUAAAAGAAUUAAUUUAGUAAUGAAUGAAUGAAUUCAGCAAAAUAUAUCUGCAUUUUUUCCAACCUUCACUAAGAGAGGUUUGAAUUCGACCUAGAGAUUCUCUGGGGUGACUACCAAUCUACAGCUACUGAGACUAUGACACCUGACAAAUAUCUAAGCUAGUCGAUGGAUGGUUGAGAUGUCUUUAGUGGAAAAAACAAUGUGAACAUGGAGAUCAGCUUCGAGACCCUUGGUUGAUGCUCAUGUAUGUCUAAUUCGGAUUGAAGUCCUUAAAAUGUUUGAGUAACAAGUGCCAAUCUUUAAAAGACUACAAAUUGCUCAAUUUAUACACAAGAGGUGUUUUAUCAGUGGACUACUAUGUCUUGCAUCAUGACAUACUAUUCUGCCAACGGCAGUGAUGGUGCAAAUGGCCUCAUACUGAUCAUGCAGACCUCACAACUUGUUCCUUUCAUGUCACAUGAAAAUUCUAGGUACCCAGCGGAAUCCUAUCUUGUCCAAUUUUAAUGCCAAAUAAGAAUAUAUUAGUAGGAGCUUCUCAAUGCGGAAGAGGAAAUUUUGAUCAAAGGUACCAGCUAGCCCAUCCUAUAACUCAAAAUAUAGCCUUCGAAUCAAAGCUGCUUCUUGGAUAGUCUAGAGCCACUGCAUCCAUUGCAAAGACAACACGUACAAUAGCCUCUCCUAGCUUGGAGACAAACUCAAUUUUUUUUUGAAGGCAGGCAUCAAUCACAAGCAUUGCUUCUGUUGACGUUAUCAACAACUGAACUGUUCUGUGCAUCCACCGAACAAUCUGCAAACCAUAUAUUACCGCAGCAAGAACUAAAUCUUCAGCGAAAGAAGAAGAGGAGGGCACUUGGCAUACUGAAACUUUUAUUUACUGAAGGACAACAGGAUUUUAUUUCCGAACUACGGGAUCUCAAGGCAGCAUGGUUAAAACUCCAAGAGUUAUACCAAACCCAUACAGUCGCAGACGUCAUGGUUUUGCGGAACAGGUGGUCUGUGGCACGCAUUACGAAGAGCAUAGAUAUGCUCGCCUUCAUGCAACAUAUCUAUGGACUACUCAAAGAGCUACGAGUUGCAAGCCAAUAGAUCAACAAUGCAAUAAUAGUUCAUAAAAUUCUCACCCACUUGCCUGCUUGUUUUGACCAAUUCGUACGUGUUGUUCAAAAUGAAAGAACAAUUCCUUGCAUCGCUGAACUGUUUAGCAGGCUACACUUAGAAGAAACUAACUUAAAACUCCGGCAAGGGUCAUCGCAGGAAGAAGCACUGAUCAUGAAAUGGUCGAUUCUCACACUCUGGGAGGGGAGCGAACAUCAUCUUCCACAGGAGAGACGGCUACAUAUCUACACAUGACCGGAUCUUUUUUUGCAAUUAAUGCGGUGAGCUCGGUCACUUUGCCAAGGUAUGCACUGCCCUGGCGCCACUCUCAUCAAAUUUUCAGAAGCCAUAUGGAUAUCCAACAAAGAGAAAUGUAGAAACCCACGUAGUUGACAAUUUCUUGAGAGACAACCCUCUGCCAUUUGGAAAGGAAGGCAUUGAAGCAGCUCUUGCUGCUCUUUUAGUAGACACCACUUCCAAUCACAACUCGGUGUUAGACUCAAGAGCAUCCCGUUAUUUUGCCAAUAACUCCAUGAUGUUCUCCUCUCUAGAUCAACAUUAGGCCACAUAAACUUCGGCAGCUUAACUCAGAUAAGCAAGCAAGCAGUGAGCAACUUAGAAUUACCAUUGUUAACCAAAACUUGCGAGAUCUGUCAAUUAGGGAAGAAGCACAAUUUUUUUUGGAACAAGCCAAACACUGCGCAUCCAGAACUUUGGAAGUAGUCCAUUCUGAUAUGUGCGAACCACUUUCCAUAUCCUUGCUCGGGGGUGCCAAGUAUUUUCUGACUUAUACGGAUGAUCUCACCCGUAAAACAUGGAUUUACUUUCUGAAACACAAAAAACAAAUCUUUGAGAAGUUUUGCAUCUUUAAGAAUCACGUAGAGGAUCAAACAAGAUGUCGUAUAUUCACCCUCUGAUCUGACAAUGGUGGCGAGUAUAAGUCAAUAGAAUUCUCUGAAUUUUGCGACUUGCAUGGUAUCAGCAGACAGUUUUCCACAUCCCGUACCCCUCAACAGAACGGGGUAUCGAAGCGCAAGAACAGAACGAUACUUGAUAUGGUAAGAAGUAUGUUGUUCGGCAGAAAAUGCCCACCCUCUUUCAGGCCAAGGCGACGAAAACAGCCGUCUACCUGCUCAACAGGUUGCCGACAAAGGAUAACUUGGGAGUAUCUCCGGAUGAAAAAUUCUUUCAGGUACGUCCAAAACUCAACCAUCUCCAAACCUUCGGGUGUCUAGCUUACAUACAUUUGGACAGAACACAACAGAAUAAACUUGAAUCCAAUGCAACUCCAACCAUAUUUCUUGGGUACGAUGACGCGGCAAAAGCCUAUCGCGUGUUCAACCCGCAUUCAAACAAAAUUAUCGUGAGCAGGGACGUAACAUUUGACAAAACUUGACACUUCAACGGACCACUUCCAAAUCAUGGCUACCAAUACAAGGACCAAUCUGCAUGUACAUGGUCACCCAUGCAUGAGAUCCUACAUCCAUCACCGCCACAAGAUUCUAUCACAUACAACAGAUGGUGUUGGUACAUCCUCGCCACCGUUAGACUCUAAAGCUGACACCGAGGAAGCAACACCCACAACGACUAUUGUAGUCGCCAACUCAGCAUCAUCCAGUCCCAAUUCAAAACUCACUCUUGAUAUGGCGCCAAGCCGCCCAUCUCCAAUCAAUCUCAUUCCACAAACCACACCUUUGCUCGAUGACUGAUUCAACAGUAUUGACUCCGACGAUCUCGCGUCACAACAUGACGAAUCGAACCCAGAGGAUAAGGAAAGAACUAAGAAAAGACUGCCAUCUUCCUUUUCACCAGCCACCGCACCUCCAAUACAUGCGAGGCGCAGUACUAAUCCACCAUCCUGGUGGCAAGACUAUUUUGUGGGGAUUGCUUCCUUUGCAGCCAAACUAAAAUCCUUUGAGGAAGCGGCCACUGAUCCUGACUGGAUUGCUACAAUGGAGGAUGAAAUGAAGUCGAUACAUAAAAAUUAGAUUUGGACGCUGGGUUCUUCUUUCCCCAGGCAAGUCAGUAAUAUCAACAAAAUAGAUUUUAAAAUCCAAGCUCAAAUCGGAUGAGACCAUCAACAAGCAAAAAGCCAGGCUCGUUGCUUGCGAAUUCGAACGACAAAGAGUAGCCUUUGAUAAUGUUUUUGCACCAAUCGUGAAAUGGGGAGCAAUCCAAACAGUAGUAGCAUUGGCUGCUCAACAAGACUGGAACUUGGUGCACAUGGAUGUUAAAACUGCCUUCUUUUAUGGUGAAUUGAAGGAAGAGGUUUACAUCUCGCAACUAGAAGGAUUCACUCUAUCCGGAAAAAAAAAGUGUGUCGAUUAAAGAAGACACCAUACGGCUUGCAACAAGCGCCCCGCUCAUGGUAUGAGAAAAUAGAAGUUGGUUACGAAGUCAAGAAUUCACAAAAAGCGCCGCAGACCACAAUCUGUACAUUAUUUGGGAUGAGCCUAACAAAGUUCUCAUCCUACUAUUGUAUGUCGACAACUUGCUAUUUACAAGCAAUCGCCCCCUAUGGAUCGAAUGGUUUUGACAGCAGCUUGAGACAAGGUUCAAAAUGUCAUCACUCGGGGAAGAAGCUAGCAUAAUCUCCUUGGCAUCUGAAUUCCGCUCGGUUCCUUACGGAAUUUUUACGUCACAAACCAAGUACAUCAAACAAUGUUAAAAGCUGUUUGGCCUAAGUGAUAGCCAACUCGUAACCAUGCCCAUGGUAGAACGACCGAAGUUCACUCUUGACACUGGUGAAGAAGAUGUAGAUCCUGCCCUAUACCGAAAGCACGUAGGAAAAUUGAUACAGCUCACCUACAGCCGGUACGACAUCAGCUUAGUUGUAGGCAUUUGUAACAGAUAUGCAGAAAUUCCAACUCCCGCACAUGCAACAAUCAAAAGAAUUUGGAGGUACCUCAACGGUACACGAGAUUAUGGCAUUCUAUUCGUGAGGGGAGAAAAAUCAGUUCUCACAGGGCAUGUUGAUUCGAACUAUGCAGGAGAUACUGAAAAUGGGCAGUCAACAACGGGCUUCAUAUUCCAAUUAAGAAGCAGCCCAAUUUCUUGGCACUCUAAACGACAGACAACGGUAGCACUCUCAAGUACCGAAGCAGAGUAUAGAUCACUUUCAGAUGCUACACGAGAGUUAGUAAGGAUCAACACCCUCUUGACAGAUUUAAGAGUCAAACAGCAUAUCCCCACCACCAUAUUCUGCGACAACGAAAGUGCGAUAAAGUUUGCCUACAUCCCAGUGUUCCAUCAAUGGACAAAACACAUCUCUACGCAUUAUCACUAUUCGAGGGAGAAAAUCGAAAGCAGAGAAAUCCAAGUGUUAUUCAAACCCUCAUACGAACAGUUAGCCAACCUAUUCACAAAACCAUUGGGUAAAAAUUUAUUUGAGAAAUUCAGCAGUAAGCUACACCUGGUGAGUACCAAACUCAUAAGCAACUCAUAGUUAAGAGCUUCAAAAUCAUCGAAACUACAGAACAAGUCACAGAGAAGCAUGCUACAAUCGAGAAAAAAACUUCUUUGCCUCUUAUCUAGUUUGGAAUGAUUUGAACUCUACCCCACUAAAACCUCUCACCUCCCUCGCUCAAUCUCUCCACGUAAGAUAGACGCCAGGCUGAUAUCCGCACGAAACAGAAUAAAAUCGAGACGAACGAUUCAUCAAAGGCUCAUCUCGAUGCAUCUCGCAAAUACCCAACCUGCCUCUAGUCAAAGGUAGUACAACAUCCGAAGAAUCUCCCACAGAAGAACCAUCAUCAGCAGGUCCAAGAAAGAUCCUUCGCUCCACAAAAAAUUUCAGCACAUGAACAAGAUUCAAGAGAAAUACUAAGAAGGUCCAGAAGAUGAGAAAAGAGCGAACUAAACCAUCCUCUCGAAGCUGAUGAACUCUUCCCAUUAUUCUCCGUUCUAGUCAAAUAACACAAUAAAAAGAUCAAGUUACAGUUCAGAGGUUGAGGGAGGGUGCUGACGUUAUCAACAACUGAACUGCAUCCACCGAACGAUCAUCAUCACCCAAGUAUUCAUAGACUUCCUUAACAAGAACUCGGCGGUUACUGCCCUCUUUGUAUUUAAACGAUUGUAUCAACACAAAACACAAGUAGAAUGUAGAGCACAUUAACAAGUCCAACAGCUUCUGCAUCUUUGUAAGUCUUAUGCCUUCAAUCUUAGGUAUGCAGAGUGUCUCGAUCCAGAAGACCCCGCCAGGAUCUCCCUAGCCGUCUAGAUGAUAUCCAUCGUGCUUUCCACCUAACCAUAGCGUAUUACGUGGCUCGGGUAGAGAGAACAUGUUGAAGAUUAACAAGUACUAGAGCUCACGCAGGAACCAUAAUUUGAAAUCACACGUGGAUAACUUUUCACUUUUCCAAUGUCCACCAUUUGUUCUCCAGCAACCACGAGAUUGAAAUGAGUAGGAUUCCCUCCAACAGCAACGGGUAUCCUCAAACAUCUGACCGUAAAGCAUAACAGCCACAAAAUGAUUUAACAGACUUUCUCAACAAAAGACAGCU
rnacentral:lncRNA from 1 species